rnacentral:lncRNA from 1 species
CAACCCACGUUACAAAUCCUCCUCCUCAUCAUAACCAUUCUGUUUUCCGCAUAAUAUCCAAAAACCUAUCAUGUCUGAAGAGAAACACCACCGCGGUCUCUUCCACCACCACAAGGAUGAAGACAAACCCUCAGACUACCCUCAGUCUGGCUACUCUGAUGAAGGACGUCCCGGCGGCCUCGGUGGUGGUUACGGCGACACCAAUGAUUAUUCUGGUGAAGGACGUACCGGCGGCCUAGGUGGUGGCUAUGGCGACACCAAUGCUUAUUCUGGUGAAGGACGUCCCGGCGGCUAUGGCGGCUAUAACGAGACCACUGCUUACUCUGAGGAAAGAGUUGAAAGACCCGGCGGUGGCCGGUACAGUGAGACUACUGCGGCAUAUGGCAGCACCACCACUCAUGAAUCUGAACUUGAUUACAAGAAGGAGGAGAAGCACCACAAGCAUCUCGAGCACCUCGGCGAGGCCGGUGUAGCUGCUGCCGGCGCUUUUGCCUUGGUACGUAUUGUAUUUUAACCCACCUCUAUAUAUAUAUAUAUUAGAAUAAUGCUAAUAAGACCAAAUUUUGAAAACUAAAUGAUGUGGUUGUUGAUAAUGAACUUAUUACUCAAGUCUUGAUUAACAUGCUUAUUUUCUAAUAGUGACACAUUAUUUGGUUUAGAAAUUUGGUCUUCCUAACUUUAUCAUUCUCAAAAUUUUCAUGAUUUUGAUAGGGUAAUACGGGAGAUCAAAAUUUCUAAACCAAAUUUGCAAACCAAUAGAUGAUUGGAUUAUUAAUUAAGUAUCGAUUGUUUGUUUCUUAUUAACGACAUAUCAUUUGAUUUACAAUUUAGUUAAAAAAAAUUUAUUCUUUCUGUCAUAUCCUUUUGAAUAUUUGAUCACUUUACUCUUUAUCACUUUACCCUUGAUCACUUUACCCAUACUCUUGCAACCGAAUCACCGUCCUCCUCCUUAACCUUCAUUUUUUUGUCUUACAGUACUCCAAUCUAUCAACUCUGUCCAUUGCAACUUUAAUUGUGAAGAAAAUUAAAGUCCUAUCGUAAAAUUAAUUAGUGAUAUGGAGAGUUGCGCAAUUAUUGAUGGACUAGGUAGGUAAGAUACGGAAUCAAAGUCUACCAUUAACAAUGGACGGAAUUGAUGAACCAUAUAGGUAUGUAAGAUACGGAAUCAAAGUCCUCAUGUAAAUGGUACAGUUGCAAUCAGGAGAAGAAAUGAGUUAACUGAUACCUUCGUAAUAGUUCAUGUAGAGUUUUGAUAUUAUUAAGCCUUAACCACCUGAUCUUAUAUAUACGAGGACAAAUCUAAUCAAAUAUGUGUUAAUUUCAAGGUUUGUUUUACAUUGAUGUGAGAUCGAUGCUAGCAAGAUAUAUAACUUAUGUCAGUUUCUAUAUGAUGUGUGUAGCAUGAGAAGCACAAUGAAAAGAAAGACCCAGAGCAUGCCCACAGGCACAAGAUAGAAGAGGAGAUUGCUGCAGCAGCUGCAGUUGGUUCGGGUGGAUUUGCCUUCCAUGAGCAUCAUGAGAAGAAAGAGACAAAGGAAGAAGAGGAAGAGGCUUAUGGAAAGAAGAAGCACCACCACUUCUAGAUCUAUGUGGAUUGUGGAACAUCAUCUUUUGACUACAUAUGCAAUGUUGUGUUUUUACUAGUUAUCAUGUGGUGUGAUCAGUGAGAGUGUGAUGCUUAAUCUCAACAAUAUCGCUACAAUAGUUGAGUGGUUAAAUGUCCUUUUCAAUUAAUGGGUGCUAUCUGGUUUUCUUUUAGCAUGCCAUCUAUGUAUGUAUGUAUGUAUGUAUGUCAUUGUUAUUGUUCAUAAUAAUACUGUUUACUCGGUGUUUAUUUCCUAGUGGCCACAUCUCAUUUUAAAUGAUUUCUUCAUACCAUUAAUUUUUUAAAUGUAAAGACUCAGUAUCCAUAUAACUACGAAAAUUUUUGACAAAACAAAAACAAGAAAAAAGAAAAGGAAAAAAUGGCUUAGCAAGUUUGUAUCCUAUAAGACAAAUGGGUACGUGGAACGAUGGACAUCUCACAAUGGUUUUUGAAUCGUCGGAUCAUCAUGGUUGGACUAUAUAAUUAUCAUUGAUAUAAUAUAAAUUUUGAUUUUUUUUUAGGAAAUUAAUAUCUGAAAACAAUAUUGAUGUACUGCAUUUGUUUUGGACGAUAUUAUACUUUAAUCCAAAUUUUGAGAAAAAAAAAACAUAUCGAACUCAGGUGUACAAGAGUGGCUUUGCUACCCAUGUACAGGGCUAGUUCUGAGUUUUUGGGUGCCCAGUGCGAAAGCUCAAAAUGUGACAUUUUUUAAUACGAAAACAUAUAUUAAAAAAAAUAUUUAAUGAGGGCUGGAACCCAGUCGAAGCUGGAGGGCUAGGACCUCACGCCCAAAUUAUAUUACUUGAGAAAAUAUACAACUGAGGAGGGGACAUGGUACCUAAACCCCGACAAUCAAAAGUACAAUCAUAUACAACCACUCCUAGCAAAUCUCCUUCAAAUUUCAACCUUUAAGAAAUUGUCUUCUGGCAUUUUUUGAAGCAAAAUCAUCAAUUAUAUCAUCAUACUCCAAGUCUUCAAUCUCAUCAUUUUCAAUGCAUAAGAUUGCUAAUCCAUUUAGCCUAUCUUGAGUCAUAGUGGUCCGCAAGUAAGAUUUUAAUAAUUUCAAUUUUGAAAAACUUCUUUUUGCAGAUGCCAUGGUCACAAGUACAGUUAACAGUACACGAUAAGCAAUCAAGACAUUAGGACACAUGUCAGUUUCUUUUACAAAAUUUGCUAUUUCCAUGGAUGUCCAAGGGUUAUUAGAGAGAAAUGCUUCUUCAGGUAAUAUCAUUUGCAAAACCUGCAAUUCGGAAUAUAAGUCAACUCCAUCUACAUCCAUGGUAUUUCCAUGUUUCAAAUGUGCUUCAAGAUUCAUACAAUUUUCUUUUAGCUCUUGAUCAUCCAAUGAAAUUAACUUUGGUGCAUCAAACAAGAAGCCAAAAAUAGAUUCAAAGGAUUUUAACUGUUCAAACUUGUGUUUCAGUUGAGAAAGAGCAAUAUCCACUAUAACAAGAAAAUAAUAUUUCCUAAAUGAUUCUUUAGCAGAUUAUUGUUCCCUCUCAUUACCAUCAACUUCAUCAUGAUGUCUUUUUCUAGGUCUAUGACAUUUAGUUUGAAAAAACAGGGUCAAUUUCCAAAUCAAGUGCAAUUUCAUUAGCAUCACUCAUGGCGGAAGCAAAACCAGUUUCUCUGUAGUUUCCAAAAAAUGUAACAAAUGCUUCAAAUGCCUUUACAGCAACAUCAAGACGCAUGUCUUUAGAUUGUAAUUUUAUGCUCACCAUGUUAAUCUUCAACAAAAUGUCAUACUAAAUAACCAAACUUAAUACAAAAUCAAAACUUGAAAGUUCGCCUGAUGCUAAACAUCUUGCAUCCCUACUUAAUUGAGGAUUUUCAGUAAUUUCCACCAAUUAAACAAAGCAUUUCUAACCUGGGCUACUUGAGACUUAAUUGCUUUAACAUUUUCAAUGUGACUUUCCCAUCGAGUAGUUGACAAUGACUUCAAAGUUAAACCAUCAAUAUGUUCAACCAAAAUAUUCCAACGCUUUGUAGAGUUGGAAAACACCAUAUAUAUGCAUUGACAUGCUCUAAAAAAAGAUUUUGCUUUAAGACAUGAACUUGCCAUAUCACAAACUAUUAAAUUAAGCUAAUGAAAACCACAUGGCAUGUAAAAGGCUAUGGGAUUUAUGUCUAACAAUCUUUUCUGGACAACUUGGUGUUUCCCUCUCAUGUUAGAUCCAUUAUCAUAACCCUGUCCCCUCAUAUCAUCAAUAUCAAGGUCUAAAAUAUCGAUAUUAUCCCGAUAUUUCUUUCGAAAUUUCUGUGUUUUUGGAUUACCGAUAUUUCCGAUAUCAUCGAUAUUUUAGACCUUGAUAGGAACUCUAUGUGAUACUAAGUCACUCAUGUAUCUUACCAUGCAAUGUAUAAAGUGUAAAAUAUUGUAUUAAUUCAUUAUAUAUAAAUGAUUAUGGUGUGUUUAACUUCUUUCAUUAAUUACUACAUAUUUUCUACACUCAAAAUGUUUGUCAGCUCACUAUAUAAUCAACUUAAAUAAGUUAAAUCCAUCAUGAAAUGCAUUUCGUUCCAAUUUUUUGUAAUAAACUAGUAGAUAAUUGACUAAAUAAACAUCCUGCAAAGUUUCAAUAAAAAUUUCCAAGUUUUUCUUAUAAUUUCCGUGGUUUUUAUUCAAUUUUUAUCGAUAUCGAUAAUAUCCCGAUAUUUCCAUCAAAAUUUCCGUAUUUUUGGACUAUCAAUAUUUUCGAUAUCAUUGAUAUUUUAGACCUUGAUCAAUAUCAAGAUCAAGAGAUUUUAGGACAUCUUGCAGCUCGUUAAAAAGCCCUUGUCCUAAUGUAUCUUUCACACUUAAAAACUCCAUGAAAUACUCCCUUAUAUUUAUUGACCUACUUGACAAGUCAACACAUCACAAAAUUAAAGUCAUCUGUUCCACAUGACUUGCAUUAGGAGUACAAUCAAGAAUGACAAAAAAAAAUUUGGCUUCUUUUACUUUUUUAAUGAUUGCGGUUUUGACUUUUGAAGCUAAAGUAGCUAUCAACUCAUUUUUGUUGGAAAUGUGCCCUAAAACCAAUCAUAUGAUGAUACUUUACGAACGUUUCACAUGUUAAACUAAUAUAGUUUAAUAUAAAGGGCAAAAAUUAUUGUUUGUAGCCGUCUCAUAUAAAUGUUAUACGCUUAAACGAUAAGUCCAAGGAAUAUGUAAUUGGGAGAAUGCGAUCUAAAGAAGUUAGAUUCAUGAGACCAUUCUCUUCCGUAUACAUAUCCUAAACGUUACUGAUCAUAGGAUUGUCAAUUGGGCAUUGAUAGUCUGUUAAGAUCAGUACGUGUUAUGUCUUCUCUUAAGGAGAGUGACUGGUCUCGAGUCAUUGGUGUGACUGACACCAAGACAAGCAUGUAGGUGCUCAAUAGAGAAUGAGUCCACUGAACACGAUCAACAAGGAGUUCUCAUACUCAUGUCACAUGAGAACUCGUGGUUGGAAUAAUGCAAAGUAGUCAUUUGACCUGAGGCAUCAUAGUUGUCUUGUGGUUAGGUCCUUGAUCUUUGACUAUGUCAAAGUCACUCCGUCAGAGGGUGUCCAUUGCAUAGUUGGGGUUAAGCCACUUAGCCAUGGAGGCAAGUGAAUGCACAAUAAGGGAUCUCUAACCUUCAAACUAUUUGAGGGAGAAUACUCUAUGAUAUGAUUAAGAAUCUCUGGCCAGAGUAUGAAUGAUAUUUAAGAAGUCGUUCCAAAUCACAUUCAAGGUAAUCAUAUAAGUAAGAGAAUCACAUUGGAUAGUAGACAUGAAUAAACUAUCAAACCAAACAAUGUGGUCAAGAGUAUUGUAUUAGAGUAAGACCGUAUUGCAUUGUAAUCCUAAACUAAAUAGGUUCUCCACCUCUUCUGAUCAGCUUGGGUAACCAUGACAUACUGCUAGGUGUUACUCAUGAUUUGUGGAAGCCCUAAACGUGUAUAAUCACUAAAGGGAGAAUUGAAAGUAAGUUUCAAUUUACAAUCGAUUUGAAAGAGUUCUAAUCGCUCACUGCCUCGCUAAAAGGAACCUAAUGGAUCGUACACCGUGUAAGGUAGAGAUUGAAAAAACAACGGAGAUAAGUAAGGACAAUUAAAUGGUUUAAUUGUUUAUGACAAGAAUUAAUUAAUAUGUUAAUUAAUCAAACGAAUAAGUUCGGGUUAAACCUUGAGUUAGUUUUGGGCAUUAAAGCCCAAAUUGGGCUUCGAAUCUUCAAACCCAUUAGCUUAAGUUGUAUGACAACUUAACAAACAAAAUUCAAGAAGCCCAAAACAGCCCAAAGGCUUGGGAAAACCAGCCAUAUAGAGAGGGGUAGUGAACUUGGCUUAAUUGCAAGUUUGCCAUUCCAUUGUGAGGUGGUAUAAAGGCAACUUUAUAGCCAUUUCAUCCUUAGGGUUUCUUUUGGAGAAAAGAUGAGAACACAAGCUCCCUUUUCUCUCUAAGAGGCUGGCCACCCUAGAGGAUUUUAGCUAGCAAUCUUACUUCCUCUAGGUCACUCAUCUCUUCUUCAAGUCAUUCCUUGGUGUGGAGACUUAGAGGUUCCUUUCAACCAUCUUCAUCCAAGAAAUCCAUGGAGCUAAGAAGCAAGGAAUGAAGGCCCUCGCCUUGGGUGAUUAGCCUUUGCUUAUGCAAAGAGGAAUCAACAAAGGUAUAAAAUUUCUCAACUCACUUUGUUCUUGAGUUGAGUCUUGGUUCACAUAACUACUAGGCUUUGAAUUUCAUGGGUAAUGUUUUGUUUUGAGUGCAUACAAGCAUGAUUCCGCCUUUAAUUGUUAAUUGCAUGCCAUAGAUGUUGCUCAAAUGAACAUGUUUCUCACAAAAUUUCCUUCAAUUUUGAAUUUUAUGGCUCAAAUAGUGAUGAUGAAUCUCUUUAUUCUCAAUAAGUCGAAAAUGCUAUUGCAUUAUUGGAUCAAACUCCGCAUUCAUUUCAAGUAAACCUAAGAAGUUGCCAUUAGAGUCUUCAUAAAGUCUUUCAUUUGUUCCACGAAAUGCUAAAUUACGUAUGGCAAGACAUUUCAUAACAUCAAUAAUUCUAAGCAUCACUUGUUUCCAAUGAUUUGGCUCUUUCUUGAUUUGCAUUUGAAAUUCUUUGUCAAUUGUCUGAUUUUUUGUCAAUCUACUUUUCAACUCAACCCAAGUUCUCGAAUUAAUGAGAUGCUCUUUACUCUUUUCAUAUUGGUCAAGCUUCUUACCAAGAUGUCUCCAAUCACUAGUUCCAUCUUUUGCUAACUCACUUUUUGAGGCAAUUAUUUUAAACAAUUUACAACAAAAGCAAAAGACUUUAUCCAACUCUUUUGAGUACACGAGCCAUUUCCUAUCGUAAAUUUUACCCGUUCGUAAUUUUCGAUCAUAGUAGUGUGAGGAAAAUUUUCUAGAGAAUUUGUCCUUAGGAUAAGUGAAUUAGUUUCUCAAAUUGGUCCUUUUUCUACAAGUAAGUCUCUCAUUUUUGCAUUAAGACCAUCCCAAACUAUUGGAUCAUAAAUGUCUAAAUGAAAAAUAGGUUCAAGAGAUUCAAUAUUUUCUUCUACACCAAAAUGAUCAUCAUCAACAUUUAAAUCCACAUCACCACCAUUUUCAUGAUCUUGAGACUCAUCACCAACAUUUUCCUCUAAAUCACCACAAUUUUCUUGGUCAUGAGACUCGUCAUUAACAUCUUUCUCCACAUAACCACAAAUUUCAUCAUCAUGAGACUCCCCAACAAUAUUUUGUGACUCUUCACCAACAUCAUUUUCUCUCAAAUUUUCAACCGACUCAUUCUUUAUAGAAUUUUUUUUAUUAAGAGAUCCUCUUAAACUUUAGGCAAUUUCGUUAUCCUUUGCCUUUUUUUUCCUUUUCAUAUUACUAGAGAGUUAUUUUCUAAAAGACAUGGCUUUGAUAAUUUGUUUGCAAAAAUUACCUACAUAUGAUAUAACAAAAAUUUCCUAUUAAAAUUAUCAUCAACAAUUCAAAAAUUACCUACACAUGAUAAUCAAGAAUUCAAUUCAUCAACAACAACAAUUCUAUACAUCAAUUAUCAUAUAAUUCUGUCACUUGCAAAAUUUAUAUUAAAUUAUGAAUUAAUAAUUCAAAUUAAAAAAUUAGUUUACCUCAAAACUCAAAAGGGUUGUUGAAUGCAAGGACUUGUGGGCCUGUGGCUGUCGGGUUUGGAAGCUGUAGCCUGCAGCAGCGCAACAAAUUAUCAGACGGUAAGGGCUAGGGCAGUGGGGUAACAAUGGGGUGGGGAAUCGGGAAAAAGGGGAACUUAGGGUUAAUUGGGGGGGGGGGGGGCGGGGACGAGUGGUCCCCUUGUGUUGUUAUUUUUUAUUUUUUUAAUGGCCAAAACCUGGGCUGGUCUUUUUUUUUUAAUUUUUUUAUUAUUUAUAAAUGCCCAAAACCUGGGCCGUUCCCUUCAUUUUCAAACUUGGGCCUCUUGCCCUCUAGUUCUUAUUUUGGGCUCUGGACAAAUUUUUUUUAUACCUAAUUAUUUGGACUUUUUUUUUGGUGCCCCUUUCAAUUUUGGGCCUUGGAAUGGCCCUGGUUGCACUGGGCCUGGGCCGGGCCUGCCCAUGUAUAUGUUAUCUUGUGAUUUGACAAGUCAUAUGUAUAUCAUAUCAAUUUUAUCUCAAUUGUGGUGAUGGUACAUAAUACUUACUACAUCGUAUGGCAACAAAUAAAUAUGGGCAUAAAGAUAAAUAGAAUGGUAUCAGUAAAUUAAGGUCUUCACAUUACGAUUAUAUUUAUCUCUAUUUUUAGUGGAAAGUUUUAAGGAUAAUUUUUUUUCUGCCUCCUACAUGGGUCUCGAUUCUCCUCUACGGUAAAAAUCCGUAUGUUUUAAAUAUUGAAAAGUUAAUUUAGCCCAAAUCCUUGCCUAUUUUAGGGAAAAUAAAAAAAAUUCAUUUUUAACCCUUUGAUUACUUAUAUCACCUAGUAUAACCUUUUUUUUUGUGUGAUACAAACAAAUAUUUUUGUUUGGGCCCAAAAUAUUAUUUUAGGCUGAGCUUAGGUCAUUCUCGGCCUAGUGGCAUUCAUUUAGAAUUUUGUUAUGGGCCGUCCAGUUAAGGUCAGCCGAAUCCUAUUAUGAAAAGGUUUGGUUUGGAUAAGGGUGAGUUGGUCGAUACUAGUGCAACAAGGAUUCUGAAGACUAAGGACAUUGAGAAUUAAAGGGUGAAUUUGGUUUGUUAAGAAGCUUGGUUCAAAGUCCUACAGGAAUUAGGAUUGGUUGAAACCUGAUCGGAUUGGGUUGAGGAGUUCUAAUCCUAGUCCAUUUCUAGUUCGGCUAUGAGGGGAUUCAUUAUUAUAAAUAGAGAAGGGAGUGCAUCAUUCAAAGCCCCUCCAAUUCAACACACAAAUUGCCUUGUGCAAAGCUUCUCAACAACCUUUGAGAUUUUAUCCACUUCCUCUUUCUUUUGCCAACACAUCUUCAGUUUGGAUAAAUAGCACUGUGAAGGCAACCGUCGACAUCUUCAGUUUGGAUAGACUGCACUAGAGCCGUAAAAUUAGCCGACCAAGGAGCACCUUUAGUUUGGAUGGACAACACUGCUUUGAGGCCGACUGGCUAUUUAUUCAAGUCUCGGCUGAGAAGGAUUUUCAAAUCCUUGUUGGUAGAGGUCAUCUCGUCAGCCUUCUCGGCAAAGUGAGGUGUUACAGGUUUCUGGGCUCGGCACAUUGAACGUUGAGUUUUGUUUUAUGAUUAGAUACUCACAAGUAAGUUUUAGAGUUUGGCAUUCCGAUGGCCGAAUCACAUUUACAAUCAAGAUAUAUAUUUCUUUCGAGUAUUUGUGUCUGUAUAGUUUGGUACCAGUUCGGCAUGCUUAUACUCUCACGAAUAUAAUCACUAUGAUCGAACCUGAUGCCGAUGAUUUGUGAACUUCAUAGAACUAGCAACCUUGUCUUCAGGCAUUAUAAUCCAAAGGCCGAGACAUGUUCCUUCAUCGAUCGCAGUCGUAAGAUCGAGAAGUCAGCAGCGCGCCCAACGAGACAUCAACACAUUCUAUUCCUCGACCGAGUUGGCACGCCCUGCACAUAACUGAAGGACGUAGUUAGCUUAUUAGUUACUCAGCCUAUGCGUCACGUAGGCUUCAUAGUUUUUAGUGUCAACAUUUUGGCAUGCCCAGUGGAACCCAGUGUUAAAGCUACGAAGUUCAUGACCAUUGAGACACGGUCAGUAAAAAAGAAACCAGUAAUGGGAAAGUUGACAACUAAUCUUCCAGUCUAAAACUCAUGACAAGAUGGGUUGUUAUAGACACAGAUUCAUGCUGCUGCCAUGACACCUGAAGCCACAAGUGCGACAUGCCGAGAAAAGGAAGUGAAUCUUGGCAAUCAGCCUUGUGGUGCAGAAAUCCCCACCAAAACGACAAAAGGCAUUUUUGUUGAAGGAAUAGUGGAUGAUUAUGACGAGGACGGUGGUAAGGCCUCUGAUCCACCAACCAGGUCGUUUUUUCGACGACGACUUGAAGAGUAAUCUUGACAACUUGAGCAGAUGUUCAGCCGAGAGAUAAAAAAACAUAUUUAAAGAAAUGCGUGAUAAUAUCGCUGUACAUAAUUUAUUGCUCGAAGUUCUGGUUAGUAAAGUCCAUGACAUUGGACCCACCAAUCGAUCCAGGCAUCAUUUUUUCAGGAAUAACCCACUACCAAUAGUACAGGUCGAGACAUAAUCCACUUGGCUCAAAAUGAUUAACUUACAGAAAAGUGGUGGGUUAAUCAGCAGAUCAAACGGAUUCGACCAGAGAGCGGAAACGACAUAUGUUGAUAUGGUUGAAGUUUAGAGAAUGAUUGAUUCGGCCUUGAAAAAUGGGCCAAAGUUUCCAAAAUUCAUUCACCCAUAUCCUGCCUUUGUAGAAAAGUUUGAGUACCCAAAGGGGUUCAAGAUCUCUGACUUCAGCCUUUUCGUUGAAGAGUCGUCCCUAUUGUCAUUAAACACGUGGCUCAAUUCACUGCUCAAUGUGGGGACGUUAACAGUGAUUUCCAUAAGCUACGAUUGUUCAAUUUCUCGUUAACCAGCUCAGCAUUCGCAUAUUAUAUCAACCUCUCACCCAACUCUAUCCAAAGUCAGGAGGAACUGGUCGAGAAAUUUCAUGAGCAAUUCUAUCGACUGGGGAUGGACGUAUUAGUAUCUUCUUGGGCUAGGAUGGCUCAAGCCUCUGAUGAGUCACCAAUGGAAUACUUUACAAGGUUUAAGUUGGCCAGAAAUUGGUGUCGAGUACCUCUUCCUGAAGUCGAGUAGGCUUGCCCUGAAUGGCUUAGACGUGGAGUACAAGAAGAAAUUCUUAAGGGCAUACUUUCGAGAUAUGUACGAAUUGGCUCAGCAUGUCGAGCAAUAUGAUUAUUUUCUCUGAGAGGAAAAGAUCUCGAAGUUUUCAUCCCGAGGAACGAUCUACAAGAACUUUACGGUUAGCUAUGCAUCGGCCAAAGGCGAGGAGUCCCAAUAUGCUAGUAUAGACGUGGCCAAGAUAUUAAUCGACAAACUGUACAUAUGUAAAACAUUGGCUCAUGCUACCUGUUCAGCCUUUGAGGAAGCUGCCGUCAAAACGUUAAAAGUCUAUACUUUCGACAUCACUAAGGCUGAUGCCAUCUUUGACCAGUUAUUGCUUGCAAAAAUUGUCAAGCUUCAGCCAGGGCAUAAUAUUCCAAAGGUCAAGGACUUAAAAGGAAAGACAUAUUACAAAUACCACAACUCGAACAAGCAUACGACAAACAACUGUGUCGUAUUUCGCGAUGCCAUUCGAAACUGGAUAGAUAACGGUAAGCUUAAAUUUCCUGAGAAACCAAUGGUCAUUGACACCAAUCCUUUCCCUAUGACAACGGUAAGCAUGGUAGAUGCUCACCUACACAAGGAUAAGAGAAAAGGAAAAGCCGAGUUCAUCCCAACGCAAUACGUCCCUAAGCAGAAUUCUCGAUCACAAUUGAAAGUCAAUCUAUCCUUGGGUGAGCCACCCAGAUACUUUUCAAACCCAACUAAUACCGAGUCAAUAUCAAACUCCAGCACGGGAGAAAGUGACAUGCCAAUGGUUUUAUGCAGUUGGUGUAAAUCAAACGUCAUCAUAACUAAGCUGAAGGAAAAGCCACUUCGGACUGAAGCACCACUAACGCCUGUAGUUGUAGCAACACCUCAAAAAGUGCUUGGUACAGACCAACACCAUAAAGUUUUUGAUAGGCUCAGCCCUCAAACACGGAAUGACGGCCCGUCUUCGGCCCGAUAAUGACUUAAUUUCGACGUUUCGUUUUAUAAUGAAGAGUAUUAUGUGUGCAACUCCAGCAACUCGAGUUCAUCCGCGAACCAAAGAAACUUCAAGUCACCUGAGCCAUGCGACUAGUGUUGGUAUACCUACAAUUCCCUACCGAUGUAUAUAUUGCAUUGUCCAAAUCGUAGAAACAUCAGCGCCAAAUAAUGGACUAUAUGGCUCGCCAAUGAGCAGCCCAGACUACCUCGGUCACCAAGUGGCAACUGAAAGAAACGGUAGAUAACGAAGAUGAUUGACAACCUUCGGCCAUCAUGGUUGAGUUGCUUCAAGGAAAGAAAGUGAUCGAUCGUGACUUUGAAACCAUGAUUGAAGAAUCUGAAAAGUGAAUCAAACUCUUUCUUCGGCCUAGGGAGAUGAAAGCUUGCCUCGAGCACUUUCGGAAAGAAGUUGAAAACAAACUUCCUUUACUACCCUCGCAAGAGCCAUUAAUUAAAGUUCGAAGGAAUCUUCACCCGCCAUUUCUUAACAAAGCUUUAGAAUACAUGCAAGAGUUCCAUAUAAAAACAUUCAGCUAAUGGUUAAUAUUGCAUGCCAAAAGCAUGCCAAGAGGCUCUUGAUCUAGUAUUAACUUGCCCCGAUGCCGAACAAAUCAUCCAAAAGACCAUGGAUCAGAGGAUGAAGGCUAGAAUCCAGCAUAUACUCGAGGCUUGAGUUCUCUACUUUGAGGUAGACCCAUAUACUGAUAUCGAUCCAACCGACCUUCCUUUCUCCCUUAAGGACCUCCAAUAUUUACUGUAUCAUUUUGAAAUUUUCUCGGCAGUUGCCCUCUUUAAUCUUACGACUGAUGAGAAAGAACGUAUGGCGUGAUUAGAUGCUUACUUAGACACAAGAGACGCCCGCAUCGUAUAUCAGGAGCGGACUCACAAGGCUUCACAAGAGCAACACCAAGUCCCCACGUUGAGCGAGCCUAAAGUUGAUGGUCAGAACGAAAUGGGUUUGGUGGAUGCACUGUAGGGACGGGUUCUCUUAGCUGCCGGAGAGGAUCAGCCAGAUAAUGCCCAUAAGCAAAAUACUUCGCCUGAAAAUCUAGAAGACAAAGAUCACGACCCAAUGGGUUCUUCGGUCCUUGAUAACACGGAAAUCAACAUGGUCCAUGUCUUACCUGCCGAGUUCUAGCUAAUUACAUCUCAACCAAACUUUAUGGACGACGUCAAAGUCGCCGAGGAAGCCGCACAAGUCGAUUUUUUGGCCACCGAAGAGAUCGAGCAAGUAAGCAAAGAAGAUAAACUUAAGGCAGCUCUUGCCAAUUUGUUCCCCCGCUAUUCGUCAGUUAAUUUUCAUCAUUUAAAGCCAUUGUAUGUUAUAGCUCGUAUUGAAGGAUAUCUGGUUUCUAAAAUUUUUGUCGACUACGAAGCAACGGUCAACAUCAUGCCCGUUUCUAUCAUGAAGGCAUUACGUCGCUUUAGCAACGAACUCAUUCCAUUAGGGGUAACCAUGAGCAGCUUUGUCGAUGACAAGUCCUAAACCAAAGGAGUGCUUCUUUUAGAGGUAAAUAUCGCAUGUCGCAAUCACAUGACCGAGUUUCUCAUAGUUGAUUUAAAGACUGAGUAUAAUUCCUUGCUUGGUUGUGAUUGGAUCCACCAAACAAGCUGUAUCCCUUCGUCAUUAUAUCAAGUCUCAUCUUUUGGGAUGACAAAUCAGUCGUGGUUCAUCCAGCCAACAAUCAGUUGUUUGAAGCUAAUAUAAUUUAGGCUCGUUAUUACAAUGAUCACAUCGGCUACAUCACCAUAUAAGGUUUUAAAGGGGAAGGACGGCCAACUUGAAUCUUAAUUUAGAAAGCCAUUGAGGUUGGAAAACAUUGUGACAAGAUUCGGCGUACCAAAAAUAAUUAUAACAGAUAACGGCAUAAUUUUUACAGCCGACAAGUUUAAAGAAUACGCAGCGAGUCUAAAAAUUCAGCUCAAUUAGUCCACGCCAUAUUACCCAUAAUCAAAUGGACAGAUCGGAGCAAGUAAUAAAGUUUUAAUCGGUAUACUUGACAAAAUGAUAAAAGAAAAGCCUGGUAUGUGGCAUUUGAAGUUAAACGAGGCAUUAUGGGCAUAUCGAACUUCACUCUGAUCAGCAACAGGGAUGACCCCAUAUGCGUUGACUUAUGGGCACGACGCGAUGCUACCGGUCGAGCUAAGCAUAAACUCGUUAUGAGUUAUCGAACAAAGUAGUUUAUUCAGUGCCGAGUACAGUCAGGCCAUGAGGUAAGAGUUGGAGGACUUGGAGGAAGCUCGGCUCGAUGCCUAUAACUUACUGGUGGUGCAUAAAAAGAUUACCGAACGAGCUUAUAAUCGAUGAGUUAGGCAAAAGACGUUCGGUGAAGGUGAAUUAGUAUGGCAAACCAUGUUACCAGUAGGGAUUAAAGACCUUAGAUUUGGGAAAUGGUUGCUGAAUUGGGAAGGACCAUUCGUCAUCCACAAGGUUCUUGGCAAGGGGGAAUACCACUUGAAAAAGUAUUAUUCGAUUACUUGGGAAAUGCAAGAAUAAAGAAUUUAUUUCAUUGAUUUUCAAAGGACAUUUACAAGCAAAAUUACAAAGAGUCGAUCGGCCUACAACUACAACUAAAGACAAAAGUCCUAAAGAGUCGAAGGAAGAAAAGCUUCAAAAGUGGCUUUCAGUUCUAGCCAUCUUACUUCGCCCAUCGUGACCUCAGCCUGUCUUGUUCUUUUGUCAAGUUGUAGUUGAUGUAUCUGCUUCGAGCUAGCUGCAUACUCUGCCAGUCGAGGUUUAUUCGAAUUGAAAUCUAUUUCAAGCUCGGAAGCAACGGCUGACCUUUGACGUGGAAGUUUAGUGAUUUGGCGGUCAAGAUCGGCCAGCCGCUCACUCUUUGCUUUUAUGGCCUCGAGCUCUGGUCGGAUAGCUUCAUGAACGACCAUUGAAGCCUUGAGGUCAUCUUCUGCCUAAAGAGCCCCAUCAAAAAUAGCGAAGUAUUGUCGGGUUCGUUUUAGGAUAUAAGAUAGGUGAACGACAUUCUCAUUGCUUAGAAUGCCAUCGUUUACAAGGUCGUUCAUACAUUCUUCUAUAGAAUCGAGGCCUUUGUAUUCAAGGAUUUGCAUGGCUGAGAUAGACAAAAGCUCAUGCAGCUUGGCGAAGACACUGGACACGGCCGCGAUUGCAAAAGACUAGAUCGCGGUUGUUGAAGGCCUAGUCACCCCAGAAGUGUUUGAGAGGAGGGUGUCAAGCUUGACUUUCCAUGAAGGCUGCAUAAAAAGAGUUGUUAGAAAAGAGAAGUUAAAAGGACGGUAGAUAAGGACGUUGUGUUAGACCUACCGAGAAAAGACUUCGGCCAUGUCUGUUGGUUCGUUACUCGAACCGAGAGAGCUUAAUGGCCGAGCCUAGUGUUUAAGGCAACCUUUUAAUUCAUGUGGCCGAUAAAGGUUAUCUAUGUUUGAUGGCUAUUGGGAUGGCCAAGAAAUAUAAAUAACGCCAUUUGGCGCAUAGAAUUUUUGGAGAAAUGAGUAAUUAGGCACCUGGCAGUUAAUAUUUUCUUGGUUUAGAAUUCUAAAGCAAAAAAUUAAUAAAAGAAAAUGAUGACGAGUCUUACAAAGGUCGAAGUAACCUCCUGAAGAGGAAUGUCGAAAUUCUGGUCUUGAGGAUGAACCAACGUCUUUACCAUUGCUUCUGCCUCGACAGGAGGCACCGCUUCAUGUCCUGCACCUAUUUCAGUUGCAAAAGUGUCGACCUGGCCAGCCAUCUCAACUAUCGGUUGAGGAUUGGUGGUUGGUAGUUCAGCUGGUUGAGAGCGCCUCACCAACGGGGGUACUUCAUUCUCGUCAUCCUAUACAUAAAAGAGGAUUGGUCGUUAGUUGAGAGAUAUAGUCAAAAUAAAAGGAGAACAUUAGUAAAAAUGGUCAUACCUAUUCUUCCACAAUGAUUAUUGGAGUCUUCUUUAGAUUUGGCGGAGGGUUUCUCUCGGCUGUGGUGGCCUCAUUCUCCAAAGCAGUAGCUGCCACGCUAACACCAAGAAUAACGGCCGGCCUCGGGGUUGGAAAACCCUUGACUAAUGGGUUGAUGAUGGGUUCAACAACAGCCAGCAUAAUGGGUUGGAUCUUAGUUGAUUGAUCUGUCAGAGGAUUUUGCGGUACUCCAAUCGAGGCCUGGACGACAUGAGAAUGGAGAAGGGCACUAGGAGUGGUUGUUCCCGUGGUUUGACUCGAAAUGACAUAUAUCUCCCGUUCUUCAUUCUUUUCCUUUUUCUUGAGGCACUUUUGGGACCGGGCAAUGUUGCCAGUCGUCUCGACCUUUGGGCGAGGCCGUUUGCUCGGUGCGGUCGGUGCAAUAGGGGCUGCUGCAGAAGUUGGUUUGACUGAAGGAUGAGCGAGUUUCUUUUUAGUCGCGACCAUCGUAACCACAUUGACUCGUUUUAUGGCACGACCACUUGGAAAAACUGAGUUUAAGUCAGAACGAUGUUCAAAUUGAAUAAACAAACAAGGGAAGUAAAAGAUAUAUACCUUUAGUUGUUUCUUUGGAUUUUGGGACGAGUCUUCCUCGGUCGGUCGUCGAAAAGCUUCUUUGAAAUUUCCUCGACUGAAGUACUGAAGAAGUCCUUGACGUAAGCAUCUCACCAAUCGGCGAAGAUGCUAAUGCAAUGGGUUUUUGGGGUAAUCAGCCGAAGAUAGAAAUUGGUGCAUCGCUCUAAGAAUUCCCUCUCGGAUUCAUCACAUUCCCUUUAUGAGGAGCUGAAGAGGCGUUCUCGGCUCAAGGGUGAGCGGGAAGUGAGGAGUGGCAUAGGAUAGGCCUGGACAUAGCUCAGUGGAUAGGCCAUGAAGUCAGGAUGGCAAAUCUCCUAGCUGGCCCAUCGAGCAUCACAACCAAAUGGAAUGUCACGAGCUAGAACAAAUGAUCCAUAUGAUUGUCGGAGAUCAGCGUCUUCUGCUUCUUCCCACACCAAUGUAGGGAGCCUGAUGGAAGACAAAUAUUUCUGGCGGUGGCAGACCAGAAACUCGUCGUUCAACAAGUCUUCAAGGUCGAAGAAGUACUUGAAGACAUCUUCGGCCAAUGGGCAGGAGUAGGGUGUGAGGACAGUUGAAGGCUCAUUGCUUUGGAAGAAUUGAAGUGUAGGAUUUUUGGCCUCAAUGUGUAGAAGUAAACCUGCAACCAUAGUUGAAAGACUCAAAGUGGGCCGUUCUGGUGUGGGUUGAUUUUCCCGACGGAAACCUCAGCCAAGCAUCGAGAAAGGUUGGCAAUGAUGGUCGAGCUGAAGGGCAGGACGUGGCCACUAGCUAGCGCUUCAGCCACUAGCACAUUCUUGGCCAGGCACUUGUACGACUUGGUACAAAAGAUGAACUUAUUGUACUACUAGAACGAGAAGGUCUCGUGUUCCCCCUUCUUGAGAGCUUCCCCCUCCGAGCCAGCGAAGUGGGUGAUCAGGGUGCUAUAAUUGAAGAAGUUCUUGUGCAGCUUAUAUACAUCUUUUUUUCAACGGCUCCUGACCAUCCUUCAUCAAAGCUUCGACGACAUGUUCGUCAAAGACCGCCUUUAGAUCUAGGUCGAAUUGAUAUCGAAAAAGGGUGGUAUCAACUGAAAGACCAGAAAGGGGAGUGCCAAGUAUAGCCGUGACAUCCAGCAUUGUUGGGCCAAUGGGGCCAAGAGGAAGGACCAUAAUGUUGGUGGCCAAACACUAGAAACUCAGGGUGGCCAUUAGGAGUUCUCGAUCCAUGUUGAUCUCAAUGGUUGAUAGCUUAAUGGCAUCAAAGUUACUGAGAAUCUUCCAAUCGCCCCUGAAGUGUGGCUCCAUCCGGGUAGGGGUGGGUACUUGGAAUCAAAAAUCAAAACCGAAACACGAAUCGAAUCAGACCGCACCGAACAGUUUGGUUUUGUGAUUUUGAAACGGUUACGGUUUCAAAACCAAACCGCAGCAAAGAAAACGAUUUGGUUUCGGUUUUGGGGUUUCAAAACCGCACCGAAACCAAAACCGAAAUCGAAACCGCACCAUAUAUUGAAUAUUGAAUGUUAUGUUUUAAUCUAUUGUUUUGUGCAGCUCCAAUCUGAGUUUUUCAUGGCAGUAGGGCUCCCAGGCUCACAUUGCUCUCAUAAUCACUUUGCUUGUUAUGUGUAGCCCCAUUGCAGUAAAUUUUAAUACCGCGGGGCUCCUAUACAAUCUGUGAUACAAACCAACAUGAUAUUCUUAAAUUAGUAAUAAAAUUGACAACGAAUUUUUCUUACUUUGAUGAGAUAUGUAUGAAAUAUUCUGGGAAAAAAUGUACAUGCUAACUCUUGGAUAAUAACUACAAUGAGCGAUGGAAAAUACAUCCAUUUGUAUGCCAUUUAUUACCAAGGAAGUUGCAGAUAAUCGAGGCUAACAUUCUCAAGAGAAUGCUAAGUUGGUAACACAACAGGAAGUAGGUGGGAAAGAAAUACUUACCAGCUAGAGUAAGUCCCUAGGUGGACAAGGCAUAGAAUAAAUUGUACAUUUUUUUUCUCAAAAACCAAACCAAAACCGUUUGAAACCACACCGAACUGAACCAAACGGUUUGGUUUCAUUUUGGUUUUGGCUUCAAAACCGCACCGAACUGCACCGCAAAGAGUUUCGGUUUCGGUUGCGGUUUCACUUGAAACCGCACCGAACCGUACCGUGCCCACCCUUACAUCCGAGUGACCCAAGCAGCCCAGACCGUGAGGGUUGAUGGCCAACUCCCUAGGGUUUGGUCAAUUCCCACUUCGACCAAUCGUAUCCUUGAAAUAGGGGUUCAAGGCAAUGCGUCUUCAACAUCUUGGUGAUUGAUUCUGGGAUGUUUUCCUUGAAAAGUGGUCCCAGAGUUUGGUGGAAAACACUUGAAUCAUCCUCACACCGGAGGGAUUCGAUGGCAUUCUGGUUAAUAAAGUCUCAACAGUUGUCGCAUUCCUCGGCGAGCUUGGUGAUAUGUUAGAGGUUUAUUUUGCUUCUUCAAGGUUGACGCUCAGCUUAGAUUUGUAGGCCGAAUACCUUAGAAGCGAGGGGGCAAUGUUUGGGCCCAAAAUAUUAUUUUGGGCCGAGCUUAGGUCAUUCUCGGCCUAAUGGCAUUCAUUUAGAAUCUUGUUAUGGGCCAUCUAGUUAAGGUCAGCCGAAUCCUAUUACGAAAAGGUUUGGUUUGGAUAAGGGUGAGUUGGUUGAAUCCUAGUGCAACAAAGAUUCUUAAAGCUAAGGACACUGAGAAUUAGGGGGUGAAUCUGGUUUGUUAAGAAGCUUGGUUCAAAGCCUACAGGAAUUAAGAUUGGUUGAAACUUGAUCGGAUUGGGUUGAGGAGUUCUAAUCCUAGUCCAUUUCUAGUUUGGCCAUGAGAGGAUUCGCUAUUAUAAAUAGAGGAGAUAGUGCAUCAUUCAAAGCUCCUCCAAUUCAACACACAAAUUGCCUUGUGCAAAGCUUCUCAACAACCUUUGAGAUUUUAUCCCCUUCCCCUUUCUUUUACCAACACAUCUUCAGUUUGGAUAAACAGUACUGUGAAGGCAACCGAUGACAUCUUCAGUUUGGAUAGACAACACUGUAGCCGUAUAAUUAGCCGACCGAGGAGCACUUUCAGUUUGGAUAGACAACACUGCUUCGAAGCCGACUGGUAAUUUAUCCAAGUCUCGGCUGAUAAGGAUUUUCGAAACCUUGUUAGCAGAGGUCAUCUCAUUAGCCUUCUCGGCGAAGUAAGGUGUUACAUGUUUCUAGGCUUGGCACAUUGAACGUCGAGUUUUGUUUUAUGAUUGGAUACUCGUAAGUAAGUUUCAGAGUUCAGCAUUCCGAUAGCCGAACCACAUUUAAAAUCAAGACAUAUAUUUCUUUCGAGUGGGCAUGCCCCACGCAUAACUAAAGGACGUAGUUAGCUUAUUAGUUACUCGGCCUGCGCGCCACGUAAACUUGAUAGUUUUUAGGGUCAACAACUUUCAUUUUUUCAUUCCCAACCUACCCUGAAUUUAAAAAUGGAUAGAAACAUAAUUUUUAGGCCAACUUUUACUUAAUUUGUUGCUCUUUGCUUUGCCACUUUUAUGCCAAGUUCUUCUUCUUCUUUUUUGUCGAUAUGCUAAGUUCUUCUUCUUCAUCUUCGUCACUUUUUAUUCUUCCAUUUGUUCGUGUUAUACUUCUAUCUUAUAUGUUGGAAUAAAUUAUGUUGAAACUAAAUUCACGCAGUGCCAUAGAAGGUAAAGACACACAAAUUCGAGUAAUCUGUAAAAGAACAAACAACCAUGAGCUAACAAAAAACUAGGGGUGUGCCAGUCAAAGGCUCUCCGAUGGUCAAGUUAGUAAGCAAUAUAAAAUUAAAGAAGUAGACAAGAAAGUAAGUAUGCGAUAAUUGUGUUACCAGAGAAAAUCCUAGAAUGAUGUAUUUAUACUAGUUGAGGAUGGGAUGUUUUAGAAUAGUAGAAUUUGUAUUAAAUCGGGAGAAUCCUAGAGGAUAUCUAGAGAUAGAUAUUGCAUCCUCUUAGGAGUGUGAUUACUUACCGCACACGUCAAUCUUUUGAUUGUAAGGACUCCAAGAUUAAUUAUAAGAAACUUGCUGAUUUCUUGCUGGAUUUUGUUUCCAUAUCUUAUGGAAAAAGGUUAGUCUCAUCGAAAUCAUCAGACUUCACCCACUGAUUUCGGAACAGGAUGAUGGUGGCAUCGCUGCUUCGUAUGUUUAGCUCCGCAUCGGAAGCUGUAGAGUCCAUGACCAAAUAUUCGUAUUCCGAUCCACCUUACUCUGGCCCUGAAAAGUCAUAGUCCAACAAUUUAUAUUGAAAUUUGUCAUGGUGAUAACUUAACUACAUGUAAUACAUAUUCCUUUCGCUUGUACAUGUCUUAAAAUUUGCCAAAUGCUUAUAUGUCUUUGCCUUUCCUUUUGUAUAAUUGGUUGGGUAUUUUUAAUUGUAGGAAGAUAGUAAUAUUUUCAUACGUAUAAUUGUUUCAUAUCUCUUUUAUAGGUAAAUGAAGAUGUUAAUUAAUCAAAUAUUUUUCGUAUAUAUAGAAUUGUAUUAUAUAUUGUUUCUCCCCAAAAAAAAAGUGCUUUAGAUAUCAUUAUCAUAGGUAAGUAACCGUAUAUAAUUAGAAAUUUAAAUCUAUAUUUAUUAUCAAAGUCAAAAUAGUCAUACAACUAAAAAAUAAAUGCACAAAUUGGGUUAAAGUUGACCACACACACACAUACACACGCGCGCGCACACACACAUAUAUAAUAUGUUUGUGUGUUUGUUUGUUUUCUAUAUGUAGAGCUUAAUUAAUUAGGUUUGCAUGGUAUACAUAGUAUCCAAGCUAUGUAGCUAUCUUAUUUUUUUUUUUAUAAAAGUUAGCCUGCAUGAUUUCUAAUCCAUCAAUGUUUCUUUGUAGUUGGAGGUGUUCUAUUUCAUGCAUGCAAUAGUAGGAGCUGUCGCUUGGUAAAAUUAACAAGGGGUUUUUGAACUUUAAUUCUUGAAGAAGAUUAAAAUUUAAUAAAAAUUUAGUGUUAUAUUGAAUAUUGAUUUUAGUCUAUUAAUAUGUAUUUAAUUCAAAUUCAUAUUAUAUUUUUGUUUUUAUAUUUAACAGAUAACUUAUUUAAUGUUAUUACAUUAAAUUUUAUUUAACUUUCUCUAAUUAGUGUACCUAAACGUCUGUAUCAUAAUAUACUUUACUAAAUUAAUGUACCAAAAUGCCCGUACCAAAAUAUAUUGUAGUGAAUUAGUGACACAUAAGAAAAUAUGUAAAAACAUAAGUGUACAGAAAAUUCCGUACCUAACUAUAUGAUACUAAACUAGUGUACCAAAAUGUCGGUACCUAAAUAUAUUAUACUAAACUAGUGUACCGAAAUGUUCGCACCUAAAUAUAUUGUAAUGAAUUAGUGGCAGAUAAGAAAAUAUGCAAAACAUAAGUGUAAUGAAAAAUCUCUAUGAAAAAUAUUUUCUUAUAUAAGAUGCUUACCAUUAGAUGAUUCCACUAAAUGAUGCCUAUAUAUCCUCGAAUCUUACUUUUCCACUCCACUACAAACUUUCAUUGUCAAAACAAAAAAAAAAAACUCCCAACUUUUUAUACGCACUUAUUUCAAAAUUUUGCCUCUCUUUUGAAUCUUUUAUCAUGGCUUUUUCAAGCAAGAAGUCUAAACCAAUUAAGCUUUCCCCCUAUAAUCUUCCUUUGACAAGAGUUCGUAAUCGAGAAGAAGGUGAGUCUUUCAUUAAAGAGCACCAUGACAUUUUGGACGACUGUAACGUCUGGUGGGAACCUGGUCAUGAUAUCUAUGCUAAUCUGCACCGUUGUUUAGUCCUUGCUGUCUUUGUACUAGAAUCUACCCUUGGUUCUUGGACUUUGGUCUUCGUUUCCCUCUUUCUGCUUUUAUGAAAGCCAUUUUGUUAUGCUAUGAUAUAGCCAUCUGAAACCUCUCUUUUACCGCCUUCAAGCUUUUCACUUGCUUCGAGUUGUUGAAUUAGUGGUUCGGGGCUAAGUUGGAUAUCCCAGAGUUUAAAUGUUGCAUAGCUUCAAACCGAGUUUGGAUGACCAUUAUUAUUUUGCUGCUAUAACUAGUUUGGAUUAGGAGACAUACAUCAAGACACCCCUAAUCACCACAAGGAUUGGUUCAAAGACAUACUAAUUGUUAACGGAGCUUAGGAGGGAGAUAUUAGCGGACUCCAGAUCCGGAUUGAUCCUCCGACCGUUUAUCGCAAUUGGAAAUGGUUGUUCUCUACUGAGCACUUGAACAACCGUAAGAAGAUAUAGACGCAUUUCAUUGUUCAGGAUUCCCUAUAAAGAAGCUAGAGUAGGUUGAUGCUCGUAAUGAUCAUAGAAAAACUCGUUCCUUUAAAACAGCAUAGACUUUGUCACCUGUCCUAAAGAAGCGGAAACAUCCUAACAAUUCUUCUUCUUACUCAUUGGUUGUGACUCCUCAGCCACAACUGCUGAUUAAGGACAUCCAUUAUAAACCCCUCUUCGAAUAAGCACGUUGCUGUUCUGGCGCCACCAACUUUUAUUGUAUUUGCCUCUAUAUCCAUAGCAAAUAAGCCGCUUACUUCACCUCUUAUCCAUUUACCUGCGGUGUUGCCCCAAUUGUCGAAGUCAGAACCUAUUGUCCUCAUUUGGUUCUUCCACCAAGUUUUAUGUUCGUGCCAUACGAAAUUGAUGUGCCUUCCAUUUCCUCAACGUCCACUUUCGUCCAUCCGCUGCAAGUGCCUAUAUAUGAACCUUCCUGCCAUAAUGGUCCUCCAUUGAUUUCCCCAUCGAGGUCCAAGGGAACAUCUCGUCCUCCCUUUAUGAUCAAACCUUUGGCUGAUCGAGUUGCUUUUGCUUCUGAUGUCAGUGGUCUUCAAAACACAUAUGAUGCUCGGGUGCUGCAUGGGGCUACGAUUGCCACUACCGAUUUCAAGGGAGCCUACACUUCUCUUAAAUGUGACAUAAUGCAGUACUAUAGGAGUCAUUAUGAGAUACCCGAAUUUCUCUCCUCCAUUUCUUUUUGUUGAUAUGUUUCCCUCGUAUUAGGUUAAUGUGUGGACGAAUCUAGGAACUUAAACGGAUUACAGAUAUAGGCAAAACGAUGAUUGCUAUCCCAAUCAUAAGAACUUAAGAACUCGUAUACCAUGUAGCAAGCCUCGAAUACCACUCAUGAUGUAGAGAUAAUUCGGGAGAUUGAUCUAGCUACUGUUAUAGAGGUAAAGGCCAAAGAUUACAAGGAAAGUUUUGAGAAGGUUAGAGACGAGCUGAGGUUAGAGAAGCAAGCCAAGACGAAGGUGGACUAGGCUCUUGUUGUCUUAAAAGGAGAGUCGGAGCGUGUGUUAGCUUUAAAACAAAAUGUUUGGGCUAAAGAGCAGGAAGCUCUUCAAAAAAAGAGGUCGAGCAUCUAUGCUAAGAGGUCGAUCACAACGAUAACAAGCCCAUCGCGUACCUUUAGCAGCUUACUAACAGGUAUUCCUCUUAGACGUAUGUAUUCCAGGAAGAUCAUAAGAGGUUACUUGAAGAGGAGUUUGACGUCAGAUUCCUUACCGAUUACGCCCAACAAGAUCACCCUAAAGGUUGGAGCGUCUUCAGAAUUUAUGAGUAGAUCAAACACAUGGACUUUCCUCCUCCGCAUCAUUUGUUAGAUGAGAUGUCAGAUUUAGAGGCGGAGCAAAAUGAAUGUGAUCUUAAAGGUAAUCCGACACCUGAUGCCCUUGGUGAAUCUUCUACUCCAUUCAAGGGAAACGAUGUCCUGAAAAAGGAUUAAUUUGCACUUGCUCCUGGGUAGGAAAGGAGACUGUCCCUUUUGCAAACUUUUUGUCGUAAUACAAAGCUUUUUCUUUCAUUUCUUUCUCUACUCGGGGAAGAAAUCUUAAUCCUAUAAAUUUCUCUAAAGUAAACGAACUUUAUUUGAGAAAUAAGUGGCGGAGCGGGUACGAGUAAGUUUGUAGGUUCGGGACAAAGCUCAUCAACUCCCCUUGGAAACAUUGAUUCAGGGGAAUGUUGCCUCCUAAGAUUUGUAUUCAUAAAGUAUUCUCAUCAUGAUAUCUAGAAUACCACCUUAUUAUGGUAUUAGGAAUUAGACAUUAAACCCAUGAGAAAACUCUUGCUCUUACACUUAUUAAAAUACAUUCAUCAGGUAUAAGAGGUCCAAAUCAUGCCUGAUAACAUCUUAGAAGUAGAGGUCGAUUACCUCAAAACUUGCAAUGUGGUGCCAGAAUGAGUUUUCCCUGGUCCGAAUUGCGUGUUCAUUUCUAGUGAAUCUUACGCAAAAGUUCUUUGGAUACAUGGUCAUCAACAUGUGAGUCAAAAAUGCUUUUAGAAUCCUUUUGUUAGACCCUAUGUGUCGGACUUGAGCGUUUAUAAUCGGACUACUUUGGUUGGCUUGACCAAAGCAUUUUCGCUUACUGAAGCUCCAUUGGAAUAAAAUUCCUCUUUGGGAUUGCCUAGUUUGAAUGCCCUCUUCGAACCUGCUAACACUUGGUGUUGUAGAGCUUACUUGACUUAGUAAAUUAGUCUGGGAUAGAAGUAGUCGUACUCGGGGUCAGAUUUUAGAGCCACCCUCAGAUAAGUUCCAGAUCGCCCUUUUGACUAUUCCCUCGAAUGUGUAGAGCCCAGGUUUGGAAUGUUAUAACCCACAACCUUGCUGGUUACAUAAACUUUCUAGAGACUGGAUGGUGCAUUGGACUUCCAGGUCAAGGCGCAAUGUUCCUGUACCCAUAGCCCACCAGUCGUUACAACACUUAUUACUGUUCGAGUCUAACAAGCUGCUAGCCGUUCCAGACGGAUAAGGCUAAAGAAGGCUCUUAUGAUAGUGUAAUUUUGAAUGUUUUUAGACUUGUAUUCGUGUAAAGUUUUCAAAGUUUGGGGCCUAUUUUUUAACGAGUGGGGUACUCCCUACAUCAUCGAAAAAAUAAAGAAAAGAAUACGUAUUUAAGACAAACAGAUGCUCGUUAUUCAUGAUCGAAGUAAAAUUGAUUGACAAGAGGGUGUGAUUGAAUCUGAGAAGGAUUGCCUACAUAUUUAUGAGAUGGAGAAUCAAAUUACUGAUAUAGUUCUAAAGAAAAUAUGAUAUAUGUAAAAAUUUACAUGAAAGAUCACUUUUGACGAUAAGCCUAUAGGGAGGCGUUGGGGGAUGAUUUCUCAAUGGACUUAUCUUCACACAGAUGGGGGCGUUACCGAACUGCCUACAUAUCUCAGGAAGGGAAUCAAACCGUGUGUAUUUCAUGUGAGAUUUACUUUGUUUUAGGUCACUUGGAGAGGCUUGCAAGGGUUUUAAUUUUCUUUCUUCAACAAGGAUUUCAUCCAUCGGCACAAGUCCUCUGGUUUCUAUGUCAUUGAACCUUUUGCUGCUUGGCAUCAAUUCGGAGUAGUGAGGUGGGAUUCUAUCUUUAAAGGGGACUUUUGCCAUGGCGUAUAACCAUUCUCGGCCAAAGAAAGCGUUGUAUAGAGACAAAUUAUCCAUCACUUGGAAAGUCAUCAGAUGUUCAGAUGGUUUUGCUUGAACCAUGAAAUGUAUUGUCCCUAUGGUGUUAAGCGGGGUUCCAUUAAGGGUUUGGACAUUGGAUCUUCAUGAGUUGACUUCAUCUAGGAUGUUAAUUGAUAGGGAUUUUUACCAUCUACAAAAGUAGAGAUAAAAACACUUAAAAAUACUUGCAAGAGUACAAGGUUGUCGUAGUAUAGUGGUUUAGGCAAGGUCGUUUUCCACCGAGAUUGAAUGAAUAAUUUGUGUUUAAAACCAACACUUAAUUAAUUAUUUAAAACAAAGUUUGGAAAAUGUUGAUUUUAGAAUUUAAUAUAAUAAAAACGAAUUUUAAAAUAAAACAAUUAAAGAAAUUAACUAGAGAACAAUUUAAAGAAAAACAAUUUGUAAAAGCCUAGGGUUCCGCCGUCCCCUUAACAAUCCUACGCAAUUUUACUAAUUACUUAUGAAUUUCCACAUAUAUACUUUGAAGGUUAGGUUUUCCUAAUGCAUAUUUUCCUUGUGUGUUUAAGCGAAAACGUAUAUCUAACAUGCAACCCGUCUGUGAUGUUCAGAUCAAAUAUAAACAUGCAAGACUCAUUAAGCUUUAUGAAAACCCUUUGAAAAACCAUGCAACCCUUAAGAGCGUGAUAUUCACCUUAAGUGAACUUACAAUUACUAAUCACAAGAAGCCCUCCUCAAUUUCAGGGUGAUGUUCCAACAGAAAUUGCAUCAAAUUACUUGUCUAAAAACCCUAAUGGUUGCGAAUCACUAAGACAAUUAGAUAGUUUGAUCGCAGUGAUUAAUAAUUCAAAGUAAGCAUGCAUCCAUUCAUAAGCAAAUUAAUAAAAUCACAUAUUCAUGCUAAGGCUUGUGGCAUCGCCCUAGCAAAAGAACUUAGUUACGAACAAUCAUGAAACAAAAUAUUAUUGAGAAUAAGGAUAGAAAACGCCUAGAAAAUAAACUUGAAAAACUCUCUAAAGUGUGCGUGCGUUCUCUCCUCUCCUUCCCUUCUAACCCUAAUGGCUAAAAGGUCUUAUUUAUACUACUACAAAAUAAAACCUAAAAAGUCUUAGAAUAAAACUAGGAAACAUAAUAAAAUAAUAAAACAUAAAAUAAAAGGUUUCCUAUUUGAACUAAAAUUCGGAUUUCUUAGAAAAUCAGACUUUUGACCGACCAAAUUAACUCUGAUUUGUCCCAAAAAGUCUCUUUUGAAAGAUGGAGACGUCCCCUACAAAUCCUCAGAAGAAAUCUUCCUCAAAAUAUUCCAUCUUGACCUUCAAAAUGCCCAAAACGUCCAGAAAGGUCAGUCUGGAAAAGCUGCGCGCUGGGCCUUUAUUUCAUAACCACGGUCAAACGGCUUAGUAGAAAAAUAUAGAAUUUUGACACAAUCAUCUUGAAAGACUCACGAACAUCCUCCAAUUAGAAUUACUCUAAAAUUAAUCUGUUUGAUCACUUUUUUGCUCCAGAGGAAAUUGAAUGUCCAACUUUAGAAAUAUAGUUCAAAGUAUCAAAAUUCUACCAAAAUAACUAGGGUAAAUUACAUAGUAGCCCCUCAGGUUUGAGGUCUAUUACAACCCCAUACAACAACUUUAAAACAUUUCACUUUCAUACAUCCAUUGCCAUUUUAUUUCAAAAUAACACCUCUGUUAGAUUUUCCAUCUAUUAGUCUGUUAAAUGCUGACGUGGCUACCACAUUUAUGCUGAUGUGGCUGCCACGUGGAAAAAAUAUUUUUUAUACAUUAAAAAUAUUAUAAUAUUAACCCAAUUAAAAUAUUAAAAAAAACAUAAAAACCCUAACCUAGAUCCCCUUUCUCCCCCCUCUCUUUUAUGCAAUCCCUUCCCACUAUCCCUCACCCACCCCCCAGCGACCUCUCCCCAAGCGACCCACAUCCCUAUCCCUAACCUAGAACCCAAAAACCUGCAACAAGAAGAAGAAAAAGAAGAAGAUGAGGGAGGAAAAAAAAAACCCCCAGUUUGUCCCCUCUUCAAAACCUGCAAGAAGAAGAAGACGAAGAAGAGGGAGAAAAAAAAGAGAAAAAAAAGAAAAAAAAAAGCCCAGUUCGCGGGAAGGUCGCCGAAAGGUCGCGCGAGGGGGGGGGAAGGGAAGUCGGUCGCGGGUCGCGGCAGAGCGGGGGGAAGGGAGAUGGGUCGUGGGUCAUGGCAGGGCCGGGGGGGUUUUCUUUUUUUUUUCUUCUUCCUCCCUCUUCUUCUUCUUCUUUUUGUUGUUGCAGGUAUGUGGGUCGCUUAAAGGGGGUGAAGUCUUUGGGGGUGGGGUUCGGGGUGGGUAAGGGAUAGUGGGAAGGGAUUGCAGAGAGGAGAGGGGGAAGAAAGGGGAUCUGGGUUCAGAGGGUGUGUAGAGAAGGAAAGAAGGUGGGUGCGGAGGAAGAGAGGGUUGCGGGUUAGGGGGGUGCACAGGGAGGGUCGACGUUUGGGGGGGGGGGCGGGGGUGUUCUGGGUUUCUGGUUUUGGGGUGGGGGGUUAUCAUUUUUGGGUUUUAGGGAACAAGAUGAAGAUGGGGGAUAUAGGUUUGGGGGUUGCUGGGAGAAGAGAGGAUUUUGGGAGUUGCAAAAGGGUGGGGGUGGGGGAGGGGGGAAGGAAGGGAUAUGGAAUUCGGGAUUUUCUAGUUUUUUUUGUUUUUUUAAUUGGGUUAAUAUUAUAAUAUUUUUAAUGUAUAAAAAAUAUUUUUUUCUACGUGGCAGCCACAUCAGCACAAAUGUGGUAGCCACGUCAACAUUUAACAGACUAAUGGAUGAAAAAUCUAACGGAGGUGUUAUUUUGAAAUAAAAUGGCACUGGAUGUAUGAAAGUGAAAUGUUUUAAAGUUGUUCUAUGGGGUUGUAAUUUACCCUCAAAUCUGAGGGGUUACUAUGUAAUUUACCCAAAUAACUAAUAUAUUAAUACUAAGAUAAGGGUAAAAUAUAUGGUAAUAUGGACUUAUCACUAAUCCUUAUAGCUACCUCCUGAAGAGGAUAUUGACUUCCGAUCCGUUAUCGAUUAGGACUCUGCCGACCAUAGUGUCUUUGAUUUACAACUUGACUGCAAGAGUGCCAUUGGAUGGUGGGUAAACAAUUUAUGGCCUGGUUAAGGGAUCUUUCAUCCAAGGUUUUCCUUGGGUCAUUUUCCUUCCCUUCUGCGCUUUCUUGAAAUACUAUUGUCUUCUCCUUAUGUGAUUGAUGCCUGGAUGGACUUCAUGCCUAGGUGUUAGGGAGGCAGUGGUUAGGGAAUUUCCCGCAGUCUUGUAAAUUACACUACUAGGAGGGCUUCCUAGAUCAACUAUUGUGAAUUUGUCGUUCCUGGGGGAGCUCGAAUAGUAGAAUUUUCAAAUCGGGUGAAGGUACCUUCUACAGUUUUCAUUCUUUCAUUCAGCCUAGCGAGCUUCACCCUUUCUCCUACUUGUAGGUUCUUCUUGAGCACUUUUAUUGACAUGUGUACCUUCAGGACGUUAUCCCAGACCUGGUCGAUGAAAGAGGCUUCUUCUCUAUUCGGGUAUACGGUUUGACCAAACAGCAAUUUUCUGGACGUGGUAUCCGUGGAGCAAAGUGGUCUGGUCGAGAGGAAUAUGGGUUUUCUUUUAAUGAAAGCACCAAUUGUUGAAACCAAAUCUACGCACCUCCGUGAGCGGCGGUUGGGCACAAAUCCGAGUAAACCUGAACAACCUACAAAAGGCUCUUCGAUAGUCAAGCAGUAGGCAAGAGAAUUCAAAUGUAUAGGUUACGUUACUGUAGAUGAACCCUAAACGGGUGUAUUUAUACUAUGAGAGAGAGACAUUUUUAGGAUAGAUCCUCAUUUUAAGCCGGGAGAAUCAUAGAGGAUAUUAGUGAGUAGAUAUUGCAUCUUCUUAGGAGUUGUGAUCACUUGCGGAGCAUGCCUAUCCCUAAAUUGUAGGGACUCCAAGACUUAUAGGAUCUGAUUGUGUCCAUAUCCAGAUCACAUCACAUGUCUUGCAAAACAAGUAUGGUCAUAUGGUGGAGUCACUAGGACUCUGCCUAGGGCCCCAUAGUAGAGUGAUGGUGGCACCCUUCUCCAUUUGAUACAGCUUCACCCGGAGUUGGUAGUGAGUCCAUGAUUGAACUCUUGAGAUAACGGUAUUCGGUUUAGCCUUACUCCGAUCCUGAAAAAUCAUGGUCCCACAUGAGCAGACAAACAUAUUUAGGUGAUUCUGUAAAUGAAUAAUUCCAUCGUGUAUUACGGUGCUCCUACAGAAAAUGGUCCCAAAUUUCUAUCACUUCCAUUCAUUUAUCAGCAAUAGCCCAAACGCCAAACCUCAUUUUUUAAAAGUCACCUGGUAUUAAGCUAAAUAAGUCAAUUAAUUAAGUAUGUAAUUGAGUAAUUAACUAAUGGUGGUGAGAUGAUGAGAAAUGGAAAGUACAAGAGUAUCCUGCACAGAACCACCGUAAACAAGGACAAGACAAGAAUGUCAUGACUAGUGUUAUUGGAGCCGCCAGCAGGUCCUCAUUUACAGCUUGUGAACGCCGACAAUCCACCAGAGUAUAAGACCAAGAAGUAUGGCUACCAUGUUUACUGUAAGAUCAACAAGCAUCCCCAGUAAAUAAAAGAAAAACUAACGAAAAGUUAAAAAAAGACUUUAGUUUUAAUGAAAAAUGACAAAUAAAGGUGUAAUGAAUAGUAUCAGGGAAAAGUAAAAAUGUGAUUUUUCGUUAAAAGUGAACAAUACCAGGAGUAUUUGUUAAAACUCCCCAUAAAUAAAUACUAUGAAGUGGGUGGUUUUUGUUUUUUUUAUUUUUAUUUCCUUAUUUUGUGUUGGUGAAAUUGUGGGUGGUGAGUACCAUAUUUGUAUGAAAUAAUAAUUUGAAGUCAAGGUGAUGAGCAAAAUCUUACUCGAUUGUAUAUUAUUAUGGAAGUUGAGAUUUGUUGUCGGAUUCGACAUUCUUCUUAUCCCUCUAACUCACAACAAGUCUGAUCAAAUUCUCAUUUGGUGUCCAAGAUAAAUUUGAAUGAAUAGCCCACAAUAUUUAUUGUAUGUUGAACAAACAAAUGAAAAUUUUGUAUCCAAUUUAAAGUAAAAGAUGAAUUACUCAUACAGAAAACUUGUACAUUCAAAUUUCCUCCAAAAUGACAAGAUUCUUUGGGACACUUUGGAUGCGAUCCCUAGCUAUCAAUAUUCUUUGAUUGAAACCUUGUUAGUUUUUAGUUUUUGAUUGAGGUCCCUGAUAUUAAUGUAAUAAUGUAAGUUACUAUAUUUUUUUAAUUAAAAAUUAAAAAUUGAAAUUUGUAAUUGUUUAUAUUAAUGAGAUUUUAAAUAAAACCCAUAAUUUAUGGGAUUAAAAAUAAUAAAAUAUAAAUUAUUCUCUCUAUUAUAUUGUGUGUGUGUGUGUGUGUAUAUACAUAUAUGUAUGGGUACAUUAACCAAAAUUAACAAAAAAAGUUAUUGUACCAAAACAUGGAUACAUUCUCAAAUCAACGAAAAAGAAUGUACCCAUAUAAGUUUAAACAUGGAUUAAAAAAUUUGAAUGGAUUUUAUAUUAAAAAAGGGUACAUUUUACAUAUAACAAAUUGAUAUAUUUGAGAAUGGGUACAUUUAAGAUUAAAAAAAUUGAAAAAUUAUAUGAAUGGGUACAUUUAAGAUUAAAAAAUUGAGAAUCUUUUUAUAUAUAAAAAAAACUAAUAGGUACAAACUUAAUUUAAUUUAAUUUUUUAUUAUUUUGGAAAUGUUUGAAUUGAAAAUUAAUUAGAAGUUUAAUAGAGGUGUGAGUAUUAAACCCUAAAUUAAUUACUAAUUUUUAUAUUAAAAAAAUUAUAUAAUAAACAUGUAAAUUCAUUAUCACAUUAAUGCUAGGGACUUGAAUCAAAAUUAAGAACUAAUAAGGUGUUAGUCAAUGAACAGUAAAAACUAGGGACUGGAUACUAAUUUUUCCUUAAAAAUAUAACUUUCAUUCAUAUCUACUCAAAAUGAAGAAAACCAUUUACCUCUACAUUCAUCUUUAUGUACUUGGAAUUUUACGAGUUAUCUAUUACAAUCCUAGAAAUCAAAUGACCUUAAGAAACAAAGAAUCAGAAUAUUUAAACUUAGGACAUUGGAUACAAAAGUGUAUAUUCUUAAUCACUACAGUUCAUUUCUUAAACUUUUAUAGUUUAGAAUGCAUAAUCUAUAAAAGCUUUAUUUACAGAAGAAAAGAAAGAAAAUGAGGAGACACGAUUGAUUUGUACAAAAAUAAUAUUGUACAGGCAAAGUCACAUCCCAGAACCAAUUUUGGGAGAGGUUUUGUUUGUUUGCAAGUAAAACAAGUAGAUGUUUUUAACCUUUUACCCUCCAAAACAAGUUCAAGAACGUUCUACUAGUUAGAACAAUAAUAGUAGGGUGGAAUGCUGAUUUAAUCUCUGAAUUAUUACCUCAGUGAAAAUUAGGUCCCUGAAUUAUUUUUCGGUAAAAUAAGUCCCUAAAUUCAUUAAAAAUUGCUAAUUUCAUCCAUACUACUAUAUUAAAAGCUAGUUUAUCACUUUUUUGUCAACUUAAGUCACUUGACACAUUUUAAAGUAAAAUACCAACAUUUUCUCACGUAUAAGCCAUUAACAUUUCAUACAGGUUACCAAUCUAAGGUCUAAUUUUUACCCUCCAAAGUUAACUUCAUAUACUAUUUCUUUAUGUAAAAUUACUAAUCUACUCUCUAAUGUGUAUCAUAUGCAAGUACCUUGACUUAAGUUGACGGAAAAUUGAAUAUAAUAGCUUUGAAUAUAAUAUUAAGGAUGUAAUUGGCAGAUUUUUAAAAUUCAAUGAUUGAUUUUCCUCAAAAAAAUAAAAAUAUUAAAGACCUAACUUUUACUCAGGUGAUAAAUUAUUCAGGAACUAAAUUGGCAGUUCACUCAUAGUAAUAAUGACAGACCCCGACCUAAAUCAGGGCGUGCUAAUCGUCACGUGAGGGUGACGUAGCCAUGUGCACAGUGUGGAAGCAAUAGAGAUAAAAGGAAAUGUGAAUGAAUAAAAACCAUACUACUAAAAGUCCUAGCUAAAAUAAAGUGCUAGUGUGAGAUUAAGUGUGAAAUACACCAUCAAAGCAUAAAUAGUCUAAGUGCAGUUCAACUGGAUAAGUACUAAUUAUAUAACACCCGAAGGUGAUCCUACAUUUAAUAUUCUGUAAGAACCACCGACGAAAUCCCCAUGAGCCACCAAAGCACUUCUACUUAAAAUCUGGAGGGGCGCAAAACAGAAAGUGUGAGUGGGCAAAAACAAAGCUUUUCAAAAUCAGUUCAUUUAUCAAAAAACGCUAACCCCUUGUCGUAAAACCUGUAUAAUUUCCUAAAAAAUAAUAUAUGUUAUAUCAGAAAUCAUGCUCAGGAUGAAAAUCCAUAGAAAUAUAUCAUGCCAAAGUAUCUCAAAGAAAUGCUAUAAAUUAUUCAGUUAAAAUAUAUCAAUACCAGAUAUCAUAUCAGCCGGAUCCACCUAACAUGACCUGCCCAGUUGAGUUUAUAACUCAUAACCAAUCUUAAUCAUAUCAAAUCAUGCACACGAGUCGGAAACACCUAACGUGGUCUGUACGACAAGACUAGGUGUAAAAUAAAUAUGCUCUAGUGCUAUGAUCACGUGAAGACUAUGCAUAUGAUCACGGUUCACCUACGAGUCAGAACCACCUAUAGUGGUCUGUAGGACAAGCCUGUGCACCUAACUUGGAUCCAAGGUAAGCAUAUGGUGCAGGAGGUGAACAUCACAUGAAGGACUGUGCCUUAACUCUGGGCAGGAGCACUAACACCAGGGUGCAGGUUUAUGAGCUCUCAUUGCAUCACAUCAUAUCUCGCAUAACUAAAUCAAUCUCAUAUAUUUAAUUUAUGAACUUACCUGGCACUUACCUGUGCGUCCGCAGCACCAAUCAUAAAUAUAUGCUACUAUUAAUGCAUAAAUAAAAUAGGCAGAUACUUUGUAUGGCAUUUCAAAACGUAUAAUCAUUCAAAUUCAUUUUCUGGGAAAAAUCUCAAGUAUAUAGGUAUAUACGGAAAACCAAAAGCCCACUCACCGGUAUGUCGAAAGGUUGUAGCCCCCGAGCCUCGAAUGAUGGCGCUCGUCCUCUAGAUAGGUCUCACCUAUAUGCGAAAUAACUAAAUAAAUGUUAAUUAAAGCACACAACCACAAUUAGCUAAUAACUUCUUAUACAAUGCUCAAAUGAGGUGUUUGAAUAUACCAACGUGAUCUACUCAACACCACGAACAUCCCCAUAUUUUUAGAAAAAAAUUUCGAGCAUCCAAACACCCUCACGCGCUGGCCAAGGCACGGCUAGACAAGCGGCCCACUUGCAGGCACGUGCCUGGCACACCAAACGGAUUCCCUAACGGCGUUAAGGAAUAUUCCGUUAAAAACCAACAUAUACCGUUAAAAUUACCUGACAGCAUUAGCAUAUUCCGUCAACUUUGACGUAAUAUUCUCCUUCUUCCUCCUUGGUUCGCCGGAGUCUAGCGCCAAUGCCGUUGCUAUCAUCGGAAACUGGAAAAAUCCUAAAAACUUCAUAUCUUUUUCGAUUCUCAACCAAAAUUCAUGAAAUUUGUCUCAAAAUGAAGCUUAGAGUGAGUAGAACACAUUCUUACCACUUUCAAGCCUUGAAAUCCAUGGAAACUCGCCAAAGAAACCUCGAUAAUCCUGCCAAAAUUUGAAACUCGUCAAACUAAGCUUCCCGACGUCCAAAACAGUCCAACUUUCUUCCCCGAGCUUCGUGAAGACGUCCUAAAACUCCCUGGAACCUUAAAAGUCAAAGAAAAGUCCACAAUCAUAACUGCAUGAACAGUGCUCAAAAUCGGGAUUCUUGGGUUCUUGAGUUUUUGAAGGAUUCACGUUCUAAAAAUGGUAUAGAUGUGUUCCUGAGCUCACAAGGAACAUGAAGAUGGCUUCCAAAACCUCGAUUUGCGAUUAAUGAGCUAGGUUCGAGUUUGUCCGUACGGUUGUACGAAAAUGGAAAAAAAUCUGAUAGGGAGGAGAGAGAGAGUAAACGGGAUUGGUUGGUGUGUGUGUAUGGUCUAGCUUUGGGCUACUAACAACAACAAACCAUUAACUUUAAGUUCCGAAAACUUAGGAACUUAACAUAUUGGUCCACCUCUAAAAGUACGUCACACACAACACAUCUCAACGUUUAAGGGUAAAAUAGACAUUUCACACUAUCGAUAAAAAUAAUUUGGGACUGGCUGUGACAACCUACCUUCCUUAAGAAAAUUUUAUCCUCGAAAUUCACACAACAAAUACAAUCCACUAAUAAUCAUAAAACAACCUUGCAUACAUAUCCCUCAUCCUGUCCUCUGUCUCCCAAGCAGCUUCUUCCAUUGAGUGAUUUCUCCAUAAAACUUUCACUAAGCGCACGGUCUUGUUCUUCAGCACCUUAUCUUUCCAAUCCAAUAUCGUCACUGGCUCCUCAUCAUAAGUCAAAUCUGGAUUAAUUUCCAAAGGUUGAGGAGGUAUCACAUGUGACGGAUCUGAAAAAUAAUGACGAAGCAUGGAAACAUGGAAAAUGUCGUGCACUUUAGAUAACUCUGGAGGCAACUCAAGCCUGUAAGCAACUUCACCGACUCUCUCGGUGAUCACAUAUGGUCCGAUAUACCUAGGACUUAACUUACAUUUCUUCCCAAACCGAACCACACCUCUCCAUGGUGAAAGCUUAAAAAAUAUCCAAUCACCCACUUUAUACACCCUGCCAAUGGCGUGUUUUUCUGCUAAACUCUUUUGUCAAUCCUGGGCAGCUUUCAGGUUAGAUUUAAUUACUUGAAUAUUCUGAGUAGUCUCAUCCACAAUCUUAGGGCCCACCAAAACUCUUUUGCCAACCUCUGACCAACAUAAAGGUGUACGACAAGACCUGCCAUAAAGUGCCUUAAAUGGUGCCAUACCAAUACUUGAAUGAAAACUAUUGUUGUAGGCAAAUUCCAUUAAAUCCAACCGCUUAUGCCAAACGUCACUAAACUGCAAUACUGAAGAUCUCAGCAUAUCUUCCAGCGUCUGAAUAGUCAUCUCUAAUUGUCCAUCUAUUUAAGGAUGAUAUGAUGUACUAUAAAGUAAUCUCGAACCAAGAGCUUCCUGGAAUGCUAUCCAGAACUUAGAAGUAAAUCUAGGAUCACGAUCCGAGAUAAUACUAACUGGAACUCCAUGGUACUUCACAAUCUUCGAUAUGAAUAAUUUAGCUAAUCGGCUUAAAGAAUACUUCUCCCUCACAGAAAUAAAAUGUGCCGACUUAAUAAGCCGAUCAAUUAUCACCCAAAUGCCAUCAUAACCAUUCUGUGUACGAGGAAACUUGUACACAAAAUCCAUAGUAAUAUUUUCCCAUUUCCACUAUGGAACGGGAAGUGGCUGCAUCAAUCCAAAAGGUUUCUUUCUUUUUGCUUUGACAUGCCACCUACUCACAUAUUCGGCAAUUCUCUUUUCAUACCUGGCCAAUAAUAAAAUGGUCGAAUGGUAUGAUACAUUUUAGUACCUCUUGGAUGCAUUGCAUAAGCUGAAAUAUGUGUUUCAUCAAGAAUUGCUUUCUUUAAUUCCAUAUUAUUCGGCACAUACAUUCUACUUUCCUGCAUAAGCAUGCCAUCAGUUUCUCGAAUUCUGAAGUCUUUCUUCUUCCCCCGAUUCCUUGCUUGAAUUAUUUCCUGGGUCUCUUCAUCAUCCAUCUGGGCUUCAAGUACAUGAUCAAUUAAUAUUGGCCUGACUUGAAAUUUUGCAAGUAAGGCUUCCUCUCGAUCUUCCACUCCUAACUUCACUCCAGUGGACCUUAAAUCCGUAAGAAGAGGAACAUGACAAUCAUAAAUGACAUUAAGUCUAAUUGAAGGAACUUCAAGAUCAAGCCCCAACGACCCUUUGAAGGAACUUCCACCAAUUCAAGAUCAAGCCCCGACGGCCCUUGAAGAAAGCGUUCAUCGUUCAUCAUCCGUUCAUCCUAAGAUCAAGCCCCAACGACCCUUUGGAUCAACAACAUCAACAAAUCCACAUAUCCAAUCGUUUUUCAAGAUAAAGCCCAAAAUCCCUUGAAGAUCCAUUCAUCAACUGUUCAUCAAGAUCAAGCCCCAAAGGCCUUUGAAGAUCCGUUCAUCAACAAUUCUUCAAGAUCAAGCCCAAAAGCCUUGAAGAUCCGUUCAUCCAUCAACCUUCAAGAUCAAGCCCAAAGGCCCUUAAAGAAACUUCCCUCAACCUUCAAGAUUAAGCCCCAAUGGCCCUUGAAGAAAACUUUCAACCGUUCAUCCAAGAUCAAGCCUCGACGGCCCUUGGAUCAAUCGCACAUCCACAAAUCAACACCUUACGGAGAUCGAAUCAGAGGAUCAAAUUUGAGAGAGAUUGUAACCCCUAAAUCAUUAAUACAAAUAUUAUUUUGUACACGUGUUCUUGUCUCGUUCGUUUAGAAAUUUCCGUGUUUACAAAUUUGGCACGCCCAGUGGGACGUUCUCUAUCUUUGAAUCCGUAAAAAGCACAAAUGGCAUCAAAGAAGACUCAAGUCGCUCUCACAACCAAUGCAAGGAAUAAGAGCGUCAUCACCGCAGGUGGUGUCACUUCGGGCGUCACAACUCGAAGCAAGGCAAGAGCUCUUUCUGCCGCCUCUUCUAUUCCUGCAUCAACUCUGCCGAAGGAACAAGAGCACCCGAGGCACGAACCUAUGAUCAUCCUGGCCUCGCUAAGGGCGCUAAGGAAGGAAAGCCCAAGGAAGUACUCUGGUUCCAUGUUUUCCGAUGCCGACUCAAGCGGCAGCUCAGCCAUGCAAGUCAUGACUACUAGAGCAACUUCAAUCGAUGAGCAGUUGGCUCAUAUGAAUGAAGCGAUCGCAAGGCUAACACGGAUUGUGGAAGAAAAAAACCAGCAAAUCGUCUCACUCGUCAACCAACUAGAUGUAAAGCCCGACGUGAAAAUCGAGCAAGGGGAUGAUCCAGUAAAGAAGGAAAACGACGAGGAUGAAGAGCCUCAUGUGGAGAAAGUCGAAGAGAAACUAAAGCUAGACCAAUCAGCGGUAUUCAUAGGAUCUCUCUCGAUCCAGCAGCUGCAGGAGAUGAUCGCCAGCACCAUCAAGGCACACUACGAAGGAAGUUCACAUGACUCCGUACUAUACUCAAAACCCUACUCCAAGAAAAUUGACGUUUUGAAGAUGCCGAGGGGUUAUCAGCCACCAAAGUUCAUGCAGUUCGAUGGAAAGGGAAACCCGAAGCAACACGUUGCACAUUUCGUCGAAACCUGCAACAACGCGGGGACAUAAGGAGAUUACCUCGCCAAGCAGUUUGUACGCUCGCUGAAAGGAAAUGCCUUUGAGUGGUACACGGACCUAGAGCCUGAGUCCAUCAACAGCUGGGAGCAAUUGGAAAGAGAAUUCCUCAACCGCCGCACUGUGAGCAUACUAGAGCUGACGAGCACAAAACAAUGGAGGGAUGAGCUAGUUGUAAACUACAUUAAUCGAUGGCGCAAUCUAAGCCUCGACUGCAAGAACAGGCUCUCAGAGAUCUUUUCAAUCGAGAUGUGCGUCCAAGGCAUGUAAUGAGGGUUACACUAUAUCUUUCAAGGUAUUAAACCACGGACCUUUGAAGAGUUAGCCACCCGUGCCCACGACAUGGAGCUAAGUAUUGCCCAUCACGAGAAGAAAAAUUCGAUCACCGACUUCAAGAAGGAUAAGGUGUUCUCCCCAAAUGUAGACAAGACUGGGAAGAAACCCCCCAAGGAAGCGUUCACCGUCAGCACUGCACCUGUCAAGACCGCCUUUGCACCUAUCAAGAUCUCCUCCAAAACCAAAGCAAAGGAGAUAAAGAGAGGUGAGCCUCCUCGCACCCAAGAAAGGUACAAAAGCACCUUAAGGGAAUUGGAGCAGAAGGCGUACCCUUUUCCUGACUCAGACAUGGAUGCAAUGUUAGACGACUUGCUGGAAAAGAAGGUAAUCAAGCUACUCGAAUGCAAGUGGCCUGAAGAAAUGAAUCGCAUAAACGAUCCUAAAUACUGCAAGUACCAUCGAAUCGUGAGCCAUCAUGUGGGUAAGUGCUUUGUCCUCAAAAAGCUCAUCAUGAAGCUAGCAUAACAAGGGCGAAUCGAGCUCAACCUCGAAGGCACGGCCGCAACACAUACUACUACAAUUACAUUUGGAUCUUUCGAUCCUGUACCUCUUCAAACAACACUUGACCAUUCCUAUCAAUGCUCAAGUUGCACGAUACCUUAUGCGCAACCAUCGCCGGGGGCAAACGAACAAGAUGCACAUACCGAUGAUGAAGAAGGAUGGACAUUGGUGACCUACAAAAAAACAAGGAAACCAAAACCACAAGCCAUAAGACCAAAUGUGGAACAAGUGAGAAAGCAUCGUCGCCGCAACAAUAAGAAGCCCAAAAGAAACAUAAAAGCUGAUAAGCCAACAUAUGUUGGGGAACCUAUGGAGCAAGAGACACGCAUUCCUGUCUCCUUGCAUGAGUAUUUCUCGAAUGACUUCUUCCAACAGUGCACUAUCGCUGCAUGCCACAUGGUCGAAGUAGAAAUGGAAGAACCUUCAAAAGGCAAAGAUAUCACCACUGAGGGAGAAAAAACUCUCACGCUCGAAGAAGGUCUGCCAAUACACCUUAGCAUUGAGGAAGCGCUACGAUUGCCAAAGAAGAUGCGAAGAGCAUUAACAGCGGUCUUGGAAAGUCCCAAUGACCACGAAGCGCAAGAAAGCAAAGACGAAGGCUUGAAGCUUCAACCACAUGAAUACGCCACAUGUUGUGCCACCUAUGAUGCAAUCAACUUCACUGACGAAGAUUUACUACUGGGAUCAAAGCCUCACAACCGUCCUCUUUUUGUCUCGGGAUACGUAAAAGAGCACAAAGUCAACUGCAUGCUUGUGGAUGGUGGAUCAGCCAUCAACAUCAUGCCAAAGUCAACAAUGGCUACAAUCGGCAUCAAGGUGGAUGAACUGUCCUUAAGUCAUAUACUAAUCCAAGGUUUUAAUCAAGGAGGACAAAGAGUGAUGGGCAUGAUCCGUGUGGGGAUGACUAUUGGUGAACUCAAGUCAAGCAUGAUAUUCCACGUGAUUGAUGCAAGAACUUCCUACGACUUGCUCUUAGGAAGGCCUUGGAUCCAUGCAAAUAGAGUAGUACCGUCCACCCUUCACCAAUGCUUAAAAUUCUACUGAGAAGGAGUGAAGGUGAUCUAUGGUGACACCAAACCAUUCACCGAAGCCGAAUCACAUUUCGCAGACGCCAAGUUCUACAUGGAUGAAGACAUGGUGCCCAAACACCGUCAACAAUAAAGAAUGUGACCUCACUGAGACUCAAAAGAAGUUGAAGAAGCAUGGUUACGGAGUUGACAACGACAAAGCUGGACUUGGCUUCACACCAAAUGCACACGUGAAGAUUUCAAGCAAAGCAAAAAAUGCUAGCACUCAACACAUCAGCGUGAACAUUGAACAAGAUCAAUAGAAGCUUAAGUCCGCCCUUCGGACGUUAGUCUUUGAUAGGAUGAAUCGUUCAAGACCCAGAACGUCAGCACUUGAUCGCAUUGGUGGUCAAAACCCAACCUCCGUCUUCAAGAGGCUUAACAGGCCAACAUCCCAGCUCUCCUUCUCGUCGGUCGACUUUGGAAAGACUUGAAGACAACAGGAAGUUUUCUAGAAAUAGGGAGACAACGUCAAAGGAAGAAAAGCUCAACAGGCUAGCAGAAAAAGGCGAUAUUUGAAGCUGAAUUCCUUCAAGGAUGAAGUGCCAAGCAAUCUUGAAGGUUGACACAAAUGGACCACUGAAAGUAAGAAGGUGCAUCAUCAUCCGCACUGGACAAUCUUCAUGCCAACAAGCCCAAGAGGAUGACACUGAAUGGGAGAUCCAAGACAUCUUCCUCGUCACAAUUCAAAAAGGUAAAGGAGAUGAAAUCCCUAAGGAAGAAGUCACCUCUGUUUCUUUCGACUCAAAGUCGCCACCUCAAUCGCUAGGGGCAUGCUCCAAGUCAAGCGAAGUUGAAGGAGGGACUCAUGUCGCUUCAAAGAAAUUACACAUAAAGCCUACGUCACAUUCACAAAUGCACCAGUUGAAAAGGGGGCAAGAAACCAUUGUUAAUACACUUUCAAGCCUGGAUGAAGUUGAGAUCGACAACAUGAUCGAAGGUGAUCUAAUUUAAGAGGUCGUGGAUGCAGGACGAAACUUAAAUGUUGCCUUUAAAAAAUCAGGGGAACUCCGCGCUUGCAUAGAUUCUCGUAACUACAACACCCGAAAGAACAACACCGAAUAGGAAGUCCAAGAUGUCUUCCACAUCACGGUCCAAGAAAGCAAAGAAGACGAGAUCCCCGAAGAAGAUGUCACUGCUGUGCCACUGCAACUUGAGGAUGGGGGGAAUCCACGGUUGAUGAUCUCAAGGAGCUCAACUUAAGCACAAAAGAGGAGCAGAAACCUAUCUUUGUAAGUGCGCUGCUAAGUGCGGACGAGAUAGAGGAGUAUUACCAAUUGCUAUCAGAAUACAAAGACGUCUUUGCUUGGACCUACAAAGAAAUGCCUGGCCUUGACCCUAUCAUUGUUGUGCAUCAUCUUGCAGUCAAGCUUGGAACGCGACCGAUAAGGCAAACUCAAAGGCGUUAUUGAUCCGAGUUCAUUCCACAAAUCGAGGUAGAGAUUGACAAGUUAAUCGAAGCAGUCUUCAUUUGGGAGGUGCAAUACCCCAAGUGGAUCUCCAACAUCAUCAUCGUCCUUAAGAAAUCUGGACAAAUACGUGUUUACGUAGACUUCCGGGACCUCAACGACGCUUGCCCGAAUGACGACUUCCCCUUGCCAAUCAUCGAAAUCAUGAUGGAUACAACCACUGGCCACGAGGCACUGUCAUUCAUGAAUGGCUCUUAUGGAUAUAAUCAAAUUCGUAUGGCUCUCGAAGACGAGGAACUAACAGCCUUCCGCACUCCAAAAGGUAUUUACUGCUACAAGGUGAUGCCCUUUGGUCUGAAGAACGCUGGAGCUACAUAUCAACGUGCAAUGCAGAAAAUCUUUAAUGACAUGCUACACAAAAACGUAGAAUGUUAUGUAGACGAUGUGGUGGUCAAGACAAAGAAAAGAUCAGACCGCUUGAAGGAUUUGCGAAUGGUGUUCGAAAGGUUGUGAAAAUACAACCUCAAGAUGAACCCGUUAAAAUGUCCAUUUGGCGUCACCUUCGGAAAGUUCCUUGGCUUCAUUGUCAAGCAUCGUGGUAUUGAAGUUGACCGAUAAAAAAUCAAGGCCAUUCAAAGCAUGCCUGAGCCAAGAAACCUGCAUGAGCUGAAAAGUCAACAAGGACGGCUAACCUUCAUCAGACACUUCAUCUUCAACCUUGCAGGGCGUUGUCAACCGUUCAGCCGACUCAUGAAGAAGGAUGUUUCGUUUGUAUGGGACGAAACAUGCCACAAUGCUUUUGAAAGCAUAAAAAAGUAUUUGUCAAGUCCACCUGUCUUGGGGGCACCUGUGCCCGAGAAACCACCAUAUUGUACAUCGCCGCUCAGGAAAGUUCAGUUGGAGCACUCUUGGUGUAAGAGAAUGAAUCCCAGAAAGAAUGAGCGCUCUAUUACCUCUGCCGAACUCUCACCGGCGCCGAGUUGAACUACUCCCCAAUAGAAAAGAUGUGCCUUGCCUUGGUGUUCGCCAUCCAGAAACUCAGGCAUUACAUGCAUGCUUACACCAUCCACUUGGUUACUAAAGCUGACCUAAUCAAAUACGUCAUGUCCAAACCAGUCUUGACGGGGUAACUCGCUAAAUGGGCAUUGCUUCUUAACCAGUAUGAGAUAAUCUACAUCCUAACUAAAGCUGUCAAGGGACAAGCACUAGCAGACUUUCUUGCUGAUCACCCAAUCCCAGCUGAUUGGAAAAUCUCAGACGACUUGCCUGACGAGGAAGUGUUCUACAUCGACAUCUUCCCGACAUGGACGAUGUUCUUCGACGGAUCUGCACGAGCAGACGGAGCAGGGGUAGGAAUAGUAUUCAUGUCGCCACAAAGGCAGAUAUUACCUUAUUCAUUUCAACUAAGCGAAUUAUACUCCAACAACGUCGCUGAGUACCAAGCACUGAUCAUCGAACUCCAAAUGGUGAUCAACAUGGGAAUCAUAGCCCUUGAGGUAUUUGGCGACUCCAAGCUCAUAAUCAAUCAACUCUUAACCGAAUAUGAGGUGAGGAAAGAUGAUCUUGUCCCAUACUUCCGGCUGGCAACUCAACUGCUACAAGAGUUUGAGAUUGUGACACUAGAACAUAUGCCAAGAAAAGAAAAUCAAAUGGCAGACGCUCUUGCCAACCUAGCCUCAAGCAUGACAUUAGGAGAAGACGAAGCUGCAGACGUGCCAGUCUGCCAAAGAUGGGUGACCCCCCUCGUCACCGAAAUGCUAUUGGAUGAUACAAAUGUCAUCUCAGUACUUCCAGUCGAUGUUAAAGAGUGGAGACAACCGCUGAUCAACUACUUAAAGCAUGGAAAACUUCUAGAUGAUCCUAGACACCGCUCCGAAAUACGUCAACGAGCACCUCGCUUCCUUUACUACAAAGAAACACUCUACCGGCGCUCUUUCGAAUGAGUACUUCUGAGAUGCCUAGGCGAGGAAGAAGCCAAUCAAGCCAUGGAAGAAGCACAUUCAAGCGUGUGUAGGGCGUAUCAGUCUGGACCAAAGCUGCAUUUCCAGCUCAAAAGGAUGGGUUAUUACUGGCCAAGCAUGGUGAAGGACUACCUGGAACAUGCCAAAAGGUGCAAAGCCUACCAAUUCCAUGCCAACUUCAUACACCAACCACCUGAGCCAUUACACCCUACAGUUGCUUCAUGGCCAUUCGAUGCAUGAGGAUUGGAUGUCGUAAGACCAAUUACCCUAAAGUCAUAUGCAGGAGAAGCUUACAUUCUAGCUGCAACAUAUUACUUCUCCAAGUGGGCUGAAGCCAUACCCCUAAGGGAAGUAAAGAAGGAAACCGUCAUCCAUUUCAUCAAGGAGCACAUCAUCCACUAAUUUGGGGUACCUUGCUACAUCAUCACUAAUAACGGAAAACAAUUCUCCAACCGACUCGUGGAUGAGCUCUGUGAGAAAUACAAGUUCAAGCAACACAAGUCUUCCAUGUAUCAUGCUCCGGCCAACGGUCUUGCAGAAUCAUUCAACAAAACAUUGUGCAAUCUUCUGAAGAAGGUGAUCGGUCGAAUAAAGAGAGACUGGCAUGAAAGAAUAAGCGAAGCACUUUGGGCAUAUCGAACGCCACAUAGGACUCCUACCCAAGCUACGCCUUAUUCUCUUGUAUAUGGCGUGGAAGCUGUUCUACCGCUCGAAAUCCAAAUCCCCUCACUAAGAAUGGCUAUACAAGAAGGCUUGACUGAUGAAGAGAAUGCAAAGUUGCGCCUUCAAAAGUUGGAAGCACUCGAUGAAAGAAGGCUCGAAGCUCAGCAACAUUUGGAAUGCUACCAAGCAUGGCUAUCCAAGGCAUUCAACAAGAAGGUCCGCCCAAGGUCUUUCCAAACUGGAGAUCUCGUCCUCACAUUGCGUAGGCUUAUCAUCACAACUCACAAGACAAAAAGCAAGUUCACAUCAAAGUGGGAUGGACCAUACAUAAUACAAGAGAUCUACACCAACGGCGCCUACUUAAUCACGGCAGAAGACGACUUGAAUAUUGGCCUUAUCAAUGGAAGAUUCUUGAAGCGCUACUACCCCUAAAAGGCGAUAACCAACGCUCUUGGUUCGCACGAGCCUAAACUGCACAAACCAAAGCUCCUGGCCCGCAAAAGCAUAAUCUGUAUACGGCAAAAUCAUCAUCAAAAUCAUUGUUAAAUUCAUCGCUCAUUUGAACUACGUUAUGACUUGAUCCCUCCUCAACUGAGGGUACGUAGGCAACUUGAAACUUCAAAACUUCAAGUACAGUCACACCAUCAAAACUUCAAAAAUAUAAAUACUUUAUUUCUUUAAAAGAAGAAGUCGGCUCCAAAGCCUUAUUACAAGAAAAAUAGAAGAUACUACUUGAAAACUAUGUCCCUAAAACUACGAAGGCGAUCUUCAAGCAAGCCUUCCAAAGUCUUCAAAGUCUCUACCUCGGUGGGAGACAAGAUGGGCAACUCCAUAGUCAUGCCUUUCUCUCGUUUUAGGCGUGAAAUCUCCUCCUGGUACUGAGAAGGUGUAGUUCCCUGCUCCGAGAGAACACUUUCAAGUUGCGAUGCUUCGAUUACCAACUGCUCUCGCUCUUGCACCAACGCAUCUAGACACACUUGGACAGAAGUUAAAGAAGUAUCUGUGAAUUGAUAAUCUCCCGAAGCAGCUUGCUGAGAAGACCGGACUUGAGCCAGUGACAAGUUUAUUGUUGCUAGCUGAUGAGCUAUAACAUUUGGACUCAACUUAUCCAAGGAAAUAGCACGCAAGGAAGAAUACUCAGUCGAGGCGGCCAUAAGGUCGGCAAUCUUGAUCUUCAACGAUGAAGAAGCAACGUUAAGGUUGUUAAUCACAGAAACAAGCUUCGGAAAAUCCUCUUUGAGCAACAUAUGGUCUUCCAACGGGCACUUAGAAAUCCUCUUCUCUAUAUGGCUCUUGAUAUCCAUUGUCGCACCAAGACUAAUGCGAUGGAUGACUUGCUCAGUACCGCUAAGGUUCGGCCCUCUCAAAGAAAUCUCAGAGCUAGCUGGCAAAGGUGUUGGACGCAUGACGGGUCGCCGAUCCUCGAUCUCCCUGUCUGUAGGUAGGUAUCCUACAAAUAGCAUCUCCAUAUAGGAAUAAACAUCUGCAGUUGCCAAAUCAAAAGGACGAGAAGGCCCAGCCUAAAGAAGGCAAAGAAAGAUGUUAGAAACAAAAGCCAAAAUGAUGAAAGCAGAAGAAAUCACGAAAAAAAAAAAUUGAAGUACAUACAUCUCUCUCAAAUGACACACGGUCAUCAAAUCGAUGAGGUCUAAACACUUCCUUCUUCUUAUGAUGAAAAUUGACAUCGCUGUCAACAUGAGCAUCCUCAAGUGGUCGCUUGUUUGAAACUUGUUCACGCUGCUGCAAAAUAAAUCCAUCUUCGUGUGAAUCAACUUCAUCUCCCACCUCUCUAGAAGCAUUCGGAUGUCGAGGAGACAAGCAAGGGCGUUGAUGAGCUAAAGCUACAGGUCUAUCUUGUAAGGGAGCCGUACUCGCGCAAUCAAGAGGUACCAGUUGCAUAGGAACCACAAGACAACCCUCUCUCGACAUAUCAUCACCUAAGUGAGAAUAAUUGGUAUCACUUGCCAUCCCCAAGCUCUUAUAAUGUACCUUUGACCACCAACAUGCGUAAACACGGGUCAUUGGAUUACUUUUGAACUCAUCAUUGGCUGGCAGCGUGAUAACAACAUUUGUGCAUGCACGGGUACAAGACUAUCAAUGCAUGUACACGGCUUGCAAGGAUGCCAAUUGGUUCUUUGCCUUCAGCUUGCCUGGCACAUUUUGGACAAAGCCAAAUUGCUUGCUGAAACGGUGGGGAUUAUAUGGCUGAACAAUGCAUCGGUCUUCUUGCCGUAAAGAAACAAACCCCGAGCGAAGACUUAUAAGAUAAGACAAGUCUGAGAAGCGGAGACGCGAAUUGUCUACGAUGCCUCGCCGCACCGGGCCAUCCUUAAAUCUUUAAAUCUUCACAACGUUUAAAUAGCGCUCGCGCUUGCAAAUCAUCAAGGCUCUUCGCGGAGAGCACGCUAGAAUACUUCGUCAUCAAAGGCCUCAGUUUGGCUCUAAUCGAUGAAAAAGACAUUGACUUGUCUAAAGUCAACAAAGAAAAAUGAGUGCCAAAAUAUUCACCCAACCAACCAUACACAUAGUGGUAAGGGAGCACUGCAGCAUGAUCUUCAGUGCUUGCCGAGUUCGAAACAAUGCUCAAGCCAUUAUAAAUGUUGGUUAAGACCGGAAUAGCAAGGCUAAAAGACUCCCCUGCAGCCAUCUUGCUAGCAACCUUGAAAACUCCAGGACAAACUAAGUUGACGUCGCCUGUUAGGAAAACAAACUUACAAAGCCAACAAGCUAAGAAAGCAGCUAGGUAAGACUCUUCCACAUGCUCUGAUGUUAUGCCAAGAUCCUCAAACGCUCUCAACUUGUCAGAAGAACGGCGCAUGGUUGAGCCAAUAACACCGGACGGGUCUGAGUCUCCCUUUGGCCUAGUGGUUUUAUUAUGGCCAUUUUUCUUCAAAGGCUUCUUAUACCUCAUGGCCUCCCAGUACCAAAAUCGGAUCCAUGAGGAAUUCCUCACGCCUGAUUUACCUUGAGCAUCCUGGAAAAGCUUGUGAUACGCCCAAAACAAACAGCGGCAACUCGCAGGCAAUCCUCGGUUAUAGCAAAGAGAAAGUUCAUUCACGCUGAGAACGACCUCGUCGUAAAACUUGCCUUGGAUCGGCAAGCCUCUUAUCCUGUGAAGAUCCCAAAGUGAAAUUGACAUCUCCCCUUGCGCCGUGUGAAGUGUGUUGGUCGUCGAACACCAAUGCUCAAAGAACGCACGAAGGACGGAAGGAUGGCGAUCAUAACUAAACAAAGAUGCGUACACAGCGUGGUAAAGGCCCACGUUAGUAAGCACAUCUUUAGAUCGGCUUAAGACAUCUUCAAGCCACACCCAAUAAAACUCAUCAGACGGCCUCUCCAGUGGUCGACAGGGUACCAUUCCAAGCCAUAGCUCCACUGCGGAUAUGAUCACCAAGAAGCUUAAACGAGGCCGAAUGAUUGUCAUGAUUAUGGUGCGAAUGAUUCAAGAUAAGAACCCUCGAUAUGCACACCUUCUUCUUCAUAUUUGGUCGAACAGAGUCUACCACCUCCCAAGAUACUUCAGAAGACCACGACUUAAUAUGCAUGGAGUUGUCUUUCGCGAGAAGAGCAAGCGCCUUAUAACCAGUCAGUGGCGUGUAAAGCUUCAACGUUGUCCCCUCAUCUUGCGAAUCGCCGUCCUUCGCAAGAAUGGUGAUGGUGUUGCUCUUAAAACACUUAAAAAAUACCAUGACUGCAAAAAAAAAAAAUCAGCCACAAAACUUGAGCACCACGGCAAAUAGGGCAGCUACAGAGCGUUCCUUUAAAGCACGCUACACUGGCGAAGAAAACCAAAAUGCUAUGCAAUCACACUACGUAACCCCGCUGCAGGCUCUUGCACAACACCACACGGCAGCGCACUACCAAGGGAAAACUGUGAUCAAAAGGCACUACACAGCAAAACCCCGUUACAGUCUCUGGCACAAGCACUAGGCAACCUGCUCACUCCGCCACCAACAACCAUGUCUCUAAAAGCUUCGUGAGAGUCUCGGCAUCAUGCUCUGCCUUCAUAAAAAAUAGACACAUCGUAUUUUAUAUAUAUAAGACAUACAUACCCACGGCAAGUGGCAAGGUCAAUGUGCAUGGCAACGUCACCACCAAGGAAAGUUGUGACCAAAAUGCACCACAUAGCAAAAUCCAGCCGCAGUCUUUUGCACAGCAACACGUGGUCUGCUCCAAGCUCCAAGCUCCAAGCUCCAAGCUCCAAAGUUCACCAGUUCGACAAGCAGCAAAGCAGAGAAGAACGUUCACAGCAGAAGGAGGUUAUGUCUAUGGUCAUUUUAUAAGCUCAACUUGUCCGUCCAAGUGAAGAAAAGAAAAGAAAAGAAAAGAUAUAUAUAUAUAUAUAUAUAUAUAUAUAUAUAUAUAUAUAUAUAUAUAUAUAUAAAAAUAAUAUAAUAAAAAAAUUUGGGUGCUUCAUGCACCAUGUAAAGAAAAUAUAAAAUAUAUGUAUAUAUUAUUAAAAAAUGUAGGUGCUUCCAGCACCAUGCAAGAAAAAUAAUUUAAAAAAAAAGGAAAAGCAAAAGAAGGUGGCCGGCCAUCAUUUAAAAAAAUUGUAAGGGCUUUGGGUGCUUCACGCACCAAGUUUUGGAAUUCUGGAGGUGCAUGUGCACCAUGCAAAAAAAAAAUUAAAAAAUUAAAAAAUUAAAAAAUUAAAAAAAAAAAAGAAGAAAAGAGAAUGAUAGUCAUCUUUUGUUAAGGGAUGGUGGUGUCCAGAAAGCAAAAGGGACAAACAUUCAAAUUGGGAAAAAGAAGGAAAAUAUUGAUGGUGCCAGUCUCACCGACAGUGAAAAAUACAUAUAUAUAUAUAUACACACACACACAGAAUGAAAUAAGGCUCAUUUAUUGAUUUCUCUGAAAAUUUACAUAAAUGUACAUUUUACAUAUGAAAAAAAAAAUUAAAAAAAAAUUAAAAAAAAUUAAAAAAUUAAAAAAUUAAAAAAUUAAAAAAUUAAAAAUUAAAAAUUAAAAAUAAAUACAGGAGGGAGCUUUCACGAAGGUUGCUCGUGUGAAGCCUCAUCACUCUGCGAAACUCCAGGAAAACUUUGGAGGUUGACUGUUUAGAGCCUCAACAUUCAGUAAAACUUUGGAGGACGAAGGCAAUAGAUGCCUUUGAAGUAAAGCCACAAACGUCCGAUGGUCACUCUGAAUCUGAUCUUCAGAUUCCUGCAGCUGGUCGAGCUUUCUUUUCAUGUUCGUUGAGUAACUAUUGGCAAGCAUGUGCAACUCUUUGUUUUCAUGCUUAAGCCUUCUAAUCUCUUGCUUAAGACUCGCCGCCUCAGCCAUCAGUGACUCGACUUGACGAGUUCGAGCAAGAAGGCGUUGGCCCAUAUUUGAUACAGAGCCCGCACACUGAACACUAAAAGCCAGAGAGUCCUGAACAGCCAAUCAUUAGACCGCUUGGAAAAGAUCCUAUUGUCCUUAGGGGUGAGAAGAUUCCUAGCUACCACCGUCGCGGUUAUGUCAUUCUUCAUCAUAGAGUCCCCAACUGUAAGAGGACCGGUGGCGGAUAAGAAGGACGGGCGCCAUACGUUGUCUGGAGAAGACAUAUCAACAUCUUCCCCAACAUUCAAAUCAAGACGACGAUCAGAUGGGCAAGCCAUUUGCAAAAAUGAUGAAAGAAGAAUAGGUCGUGUAAGUCGAAUUCUUAGAAAUGCAAAAUAAGGGAAAUUCCUAACAGGUAGCGACUCUCUAAGUGUGUUUUUGAACACGAUUCAUGCCUCUAUAAAAAGAAGAGGCAACAGGGCCUGUUCAAAAAUCGAAGAGGCAAUGUGGUCGUUCAGAAACCAAAGAGGCCCCUCUCCCCGAAUUUCAAAAAACUGAGCCAUUUGUUCAUAAAUCGAAGAGGCAACAAGGCCACCAGUUCAAAGAUCGAAGAGGCACCACUCUCUGAAUUUCAAAAAAGACCGGCUUUUCAGGAUUUGUCACCAUCCUUCACACGCAACCUCAACUUUGCGGAAAUCACGCACAACUUUGUAAAAGAUUUCUGACAAAGCUGAAAACGCGUGAAUCUUACUAUUUCAAUUACCCAACGGUUGCCGACAAGAGUAAAGGAAUAGUGCCACUACUGGCUAUUGGGAAAUUCCUAUAUAUGUCGACCUUCACCCUCCAUAGCAAGGCAGACCUGCAAAAAUGUCCAACCCUUCCUCAUUUCCGAGAGUACACUCCCAGCAAAGCCUAUUGAAAUACCCAGUUUUCUUCCUCUCCUGGAAUACCUCUGUAAACAAAUGACACCAAAGUAAAAGUAUCCCAUAUCAUCAGGGUAAAAAGCAAGAGUAUCUCAUAUCAUGCAAUCUCCCUAUCCUUUUCUUUGUCCUUGUUCUUACCUGCAAAGACAAGGAUAAAGAAAGCAAUAUGUCGGAACCUCCACUCAAACUCCGGGUAAGGAAUCGACUACCUGGAACCUUUGCCUGGUUGCUUACCUGGCAUUGCUCUAAAGUACUCGUCUUAAACUGCUGAUGUACUUCCGAAGAAGAUGCCACAUUUGCCUAGAGAACAGAUAAGGCAAGUGAAAAUGAUACCUUGAAGCAUGUGGAGACAACGUGUUGAUUUCCUUCAAGAUCAAGUCUCCCCUUCCCUGCACAAUCAAGCAACCCAGCAGAAGAAGUCUGAGUUGAAUCCAAGAGCUCGAGCUGCUUCAACAACAUAUUGACGGCAUCAUCAUCGAAGAGCAAAGCCUCGCUGUGCAACGCUGUCAAAAUUGCCACCAUUUAUUCGAAAGCAAGAGUAUUUCAUAUCAUGCUUUCUCUAUGUCCUUGUCUUUGUCCUUGUUUUUACCUGCAAGACAAGAAGAAGGAGAGCCAUCAGUCAGAACUUGAAAGUCAAACUCCCAGUCAGGAACCGAUUGCUUGGAACUUUUCCCUGAUUGCUUACGUAGCACUACUCUCGAAGUAUCCAUUAUCUCAACAUCUUAUACUUCCAGAUAAGAUACCACAUCUGCCCGAAGAACAGAUAAGGCAAGGGAAAAUGAUACAUUGAAGCAUGUGGAGACAAGCACAACAAAGCACAACAAAGCACGUGCCAAUUCAUCUGCUACUUCUUCAAAAUCAAAAGUAUCUCAUAUCAUCAGGGUUUCAAUCACUCUGGGUAGUGGACUCGUUUUGACCCUCAAAUUCUUGGGUCGACUUGCUAGGCGUUGUGGGCUGCACGUGCCGAUUCACCACCCUUGAAUCAAAUCCUUAAAGAUCAAGUCACCAACUGGAAGAAGAGCCCAUCAAUCUUGAAGAUCAUACCGUUGACCAAACUCCUCAAGUGUGAAUUAGAAAGAUUGAACAAAGCAACAAGUCAUCACCUUCACCUCGUGCCUGCUUGCCAUGUGUUCGAGUCAACCUUCAAGAAUCAAGCCUCAACGGCCCUUGAAGAAGCUUCCAGCCAAAUUCAAGAUCAAGCCUCGACGACCCUUGAGGAAAUCACAAGUCCGAUUCAAGAUCAAGUGUCUACCACCCUUGAAUCAAAUCCAGUUCAAUAAUAAGCUGUGGAAAGUCAACAAUUGGAGGAAACCAGAAAAUCCUCCAACCUAGUUCAAGAAUAAGCUUGUGGAAAGUCAACAAUUGGAGGAAUCCAGAAAAUCCUCCAACCCAGUUCAAGAUCAAAGCUGUGGAAAGUCAACAAGCGCAACAAAAUACGUGUCAAUUCAUCCACUACCAAAGCCAAGGAUCAUAUACCACAUGAAGCUCCUUGUGGUCUAAUUUCAACCUUCAAUAUCAAGCCUCGACGACCCUUGAAGAAAUUUCAAACAAAGUUCAAGAACAAGCCUCAACGGCCAUUGAAGAAAUCUCUAACCUAAUUGAAGAUCAACCAUCAAUGGCCCUUGGAUCGACAUCUACAUUAAGGGACUUCAAAACGCAUCUUCUACACAUAAUAAACACGUGUAUACAGCGUGCCUUGAAGUGGGGGCAUUUGUAGACAUCGAAAUUUUGGUGAAAUAAAUGUUGAUCAAUAAUUAAAAUUUCAACGUUCACGUGUCACAUAAAUUUUACACAUAGCAGGUGACUCAACGAAAAAUCGAGAAUCAUCAAAAAAGUCAUCAAACAGGACACGUGUCAACACCUGGCAGAAACGAUUUAUUUCAUCUGAAUAAUACAUUCAAAAUUAGGCUUUGGAAAAUUCUAUAAAUAGAAGCCAUUUCAUUCAUUUUGGGGACCCCAAUUCAUAACCAAUUCACCUCACACCAAAACCUUGAAGCUUUGAAACUCCAAAGCCCCAAGCAAAUCCCGAAAGAUCAAGAAAGCUCUCUUCGUUCUUCGUCAACCCAACCUUCAAGAUCAAGCCCCAACGGCCCUUUGAAGGAACUUCCACCAAUUCAAGAUCAAGCCCCGACGGCCCUUGAAGAAAGCGUUCAUCGUUCAUCAUCCGUUCAUCCUAAGAUCAAGCCCCAAAGACCCUUUGGAUCAACAACAUCAACAAAUCCACAUAUCCAACCGUUCUUCAAGAUAAAGCCCAAAAGCCCUUGAAGAUCCAUUCAUCAACUGUUCAUCAAGAUCAAGCCCUAAAGGCCUUUGAAGAUCCGUUCAUCAACAAUUCUUCAAGAUCAAGCCCAAAAGCCUUGAAGAUCCGUUCAUCCAUCAACUUUCAAGAUCAAGCCCAAAGGCCCUUGAAGAAACUUCCCUGAACCUUCAAGAUUAAGCCCCAACGACCCUUGAAGAAAACUUUCAACCGUUCAUCCAAGAUCAAGCCUCGACAACCCUUGGAUCAAUCGCACAUCCACAAAUCAACACCUUACGGAGAUCGAAUCAGAUGAUCAAAUUUGAGAGAGAUUGUAACCCCUAAAUCAUUAAUACAAAUAUUAUUUUGUACAUGUGUUCUUGUCUAGUUCGUUUCAGGAAUUUCCGUAUUUACAGAUUCAACUUUAAAUUAUAAACAGUCUCAAGAGGUGUCCUCUAAGGAGGACGAAAAGAAGACUGAAUAGCAUUAGCAAUAGCUUCUCCUAAUUGAGCAAUAUCGGGGAAACUAGGCUCAACAGCGGGACGUGGAUCUCUACGAGGCGCCAUAGUUCUGACAGAAGACAUCAAAAUAAUUAGAAAAUUCACAAGAUAUGCAAGACUGCAAACCUAAGCUCUGAUGAUGGUGCUCGUCCUCUAGAUAGGUCUCACCUAUAUGCGAAAUAACUAAAUAAACGUUAAUUAAAGCAUACAACCACAAUUAGCUAAUAACUUCUCAUACAAUGCUCAAAUGGGGUGUUUGAAUAUACCAACGUGAUCUACUCAACACCACGAGCAUCCCCAUAUUUUUAGAAAAAUUUUCCGAGCAUCUACGCACCGGCCAAGGCACAGCCAGAUGCACGGCCCACGUUCAGGCACGUGCCUGACACACCAAACGGAUUCCCUAAUGGAGUUAGGGAAUAUUCCAUUAAAAACCAGCAUAUACCGUUAAAAUUACCUAACGACAUUAGCAUAUUCCGUCAAAUUUGAUAGAAUAUUCUCCUCCUUCCUCCUUGGUUUGCUGAAGUCCAGCACCGGUGCGGCUGCUAUCGCAGGAAACUUGAAAAAUCUUUAAAACUUCAUAUUUUAUUCGAUUCUCAACCAAAAUUCAUGAAAUUUGUCUCAAAAUGAAGCUUAGAGUGAGUAGAACACAUUCUUACCACUUUCAAGCCUUGAAAUCCAUGGAAACUCGCUAGAGAAACCUCGAUAAUCUGGCCAAAAUUUGAAACUCGUCAAACUAAGCUUCCCGAGGUCCAAAACACUCCAACUUUCUUCCCCGAUCGUCGUGAAGACGUCCUAAAACUCCCUAGAACCUUAAAACUCGAAGAAAAGUCCAUAAUCAUGACUGCAUGAACAAUGCUCAAAAUCGGGAUUCUUGGGUUCUCGGGUUUUCGAAGGAUUCAUGUUCUAAAAAUGGUACGGAUGUGUUCCUGAGCUCACAAGGAACACAAAGAUGGCUUCCAAAACCUCGAUCCAUGAUUAGUGAGCUAGGUUCGAGUUUGUCCGUACUGUUGUACGGAAAUGGAAGAAAAUCCGAGAGGGAGGAGAUAGAGAGUCAACGAGAUUGGUUGGUGUGUGUGUGUGUGUGGUCCAACUUUGGGCUACUAACAACAACAAACCAUUAACUUUAAGUUCCAAAAACUUAGGAACUUAACAUAUUGGUCCACCUCUAAAAGUACGUUACACGCAACACAUCUCAAUGUUCAAGAGCAAAAUAGACAUUUCACAUUGUUGAUAAAAAUAAUCUGAGACAGGCUGUGACAAAUAAUGUUUAAAAGUGGUCCAAUGUUGGUUGUGUACAAAUCAUGUGGUGGUUGGUUGGGGAAAAUAUUUAUAUUUCGACAAGUAAACCAUUUUUAAGGAAUUAUGUAAUCAUAAAUUUUUAAUUUAAAUGGAUGUGCGGGGCUGUUUUUUUUCUUUCUUUUUCGAUAGACAUGAGGCGUGUGGGGAUUCUGCUUCGCUAUUUAAAAUACGGUGUACUUGUAGUUCAUUUCAUUUAUUGGUGAAAUAUUUAGGUUUAAAUCUGGUUAACGAAUAAGCCAAAUUAAAUUAUUAUAGUUGAUCUAUUGUGUGAUUUGAACCUAUAUCAUCAUUUUUAGUGUAAAUUAUAGCGUUAUAAUUUUUUUUUUUAAAGUCAUGCUGUUUUAUAAUAGUUUGAAUAUCUGGAAUAAAUCGUUUACCUUUACCUUCAUCUUUAUGUACGUGGAAUUUUACGAGUUAUCUAUUACAAUCCUGGAAACCAAACGAGCUUAAGAAACAAAGAAUCGGAAUAUUUAAACUUAGGACCUUGAAUACAAAAGUGUAUAUUCUUAAUCACUUGAGCUACAAUUUCUUUGUUAGACUUUUGUAGUUUAGAAUGCAUAAUCUAAUAAAAGCUUUAUUUACAGAAGAAAAGAAAGAAAAUGAGGAGACAUGUUUGAUUUGUACUAAAUAAUAGGGGUGUGAUAUCUACACAUCACGUUUUAACUUCUCACACACCCUCUUAAUUUCUAACCGUUAGAUCGAAUGAAUUAAAAAAAAAAUCAAAAGACAAAAAUAAUAAUGCUUAAAGGUGGUCCAAUGUUAGUUGUGUAAAAAUCAUGUGGUGGUUGGUUGGGGAAAAUAUUUAUAUUUUCAAUUUAAAUGAACCUGUGGAGCUUUUUUUUUUUUUUUUUUUUUUCUUUGAUAUUUUGAUACAGACAUGAGACGUAUGGGGCUUGUCAAAAGAGUCAUUCUUCUUUGUUAUUAAUUCAGUCUAGUUGUAUUAUGUUUUAUUAAUAAAAUAUAUAGGUUUAAAUCUUGUUGACUAAUAGGGCCGAACCAAAUAAUUAUAUUUAAUUUAUUGUGUGAUAUUUUCAUCAUCUUUAGUGUAAAUCCUAUGGUUAUAAUUUUUUUUUAAGUCAUGCGGCUUUAUAACAGUUGAAUACAAUAUUGCAAUAAGUGCGAAUAGUGUCAAGAGACUAAUGUGAAACUUUUGUUGAAUUGAAGGACAUAAAUUGACCGAAUUUUUGUUCUAGGACAUAUUCUAAAGUCGGGAGCAAGUUCAGGGAUGAAUUCUCAUUUUCACCUUUUUAAAUCUUUCUUUGCUUAUAAAAACAGAUGAAUACUUGUAUUAUGUGGAAAGAUUUACAAUAUAUGAAGCUAUCGAUUGAAAUGUAAAUGUAAAUAUUGUUGAUGUGAUAUUCAAGUUGUUAGGAUUUAAUGUGAGUCAUUGAAUCAUAGUCUUUUUGGUAUCUUAGAUUAGAUUUCAUUAAGUCAUAACUCAUGACAAGUGUAAUCAUCUCAUAAGGUGACUUAAGAUUGAAUGGUUAGGAUGAUUUUGUAUGGUGUGAUAGAGUGAGAGAGUGUGGUGCUCCUCCUCUAACGAUAAUAUAUUAUUUGCAUGCAUAUUAAAUUAUUAGUCUCUGUGAUGAUAUGGUAGUUGGAAGAAAGUUCAUGUAGUAAAAGAACAAAAAACCAAAUCCCCUCCUUCUUUCCUGCAACCCGCACCUCCACCAGCGUUUUUUUAUCAGGAAAACUAAUGAAAAGGGCUUGAAAACUUUGAGUUUUAAUGAUAAGGACAAAAUAAAGGGUAAAGUGAAUAGUACCAGGAUUGACUUUUUAGUGUAAAAAUAUGGUUUUUCGUUAAAGUGAACAGUACCGGGAGCUUUUCGUUAAAGUUUCCUUUUUUAUCUUCCCCCAAUCAACUUUUUAACCACUCAAAGCUGUCCUAAAAUCCCUUUUCUUCUUCUCUCUCCUCAAAACCUUCUUCUUCCCUUCUUCCUCCCCCAAUCAAAUUUUAAACCCCUCAAAGCUAUCCUAAAAUCCCCUUGUCUUCUUCUCUCUGCUCAAAACCCAAAAAGCCUGCGUGCGCUUCCAACAUCCAGGUUGCAGACAGGUUCGCGGCGAUCUGCAGGCUGCUGGAGCAGUAGAUUUUGCAUUCGGCUUCCUCCGCUAACAAGUCUUAGAUUUGGCAACAGCUCUAGCACUACUCUCAGUUCCCCGAUUUCAAUAACUACCUUGCUUUCAAUCUCGCACGUGCCGAGGUAUGCUCCCCCUCCCUCCACUUCCCCCCAAUUGUGUAUUCAUUUUCAAUUUGAGUCAGUAGGGUUUGUGUUUUUGCUUUUCAAUUUUUAUUUUUUUAAGAGAGAGAGAGGGAUGGGGAAGAAAUUACAGGGGGAAGAAGAAAGGUGGGGGAAGGUUGGGGGAGACUGGUGGUGAAGGAAGGCUGGGGGAGGGUGUGGGUUGCAGGGAAGAAGGAAGGGAGGGUUGGGGGAGGAAGAAAGGAAGAAGAAGAAGUAGAGAGAGGAAAAAAAAAAAAAGAAAAAAAGCUGGAGGGUGCGGGUUGCAGGAAGAAGAAGGGGAUUUCAGGGUUUUUUUUUUAUUAUAAUUUUUUUUAAUAUAUAUUUUUUUAAUGAUAUGUGGCAUCUAGUCAUUGUCCACGUGGAACAACAUGAUCAGUUAACAGAAAACUUAACAGUUUGACUAACGGAUGAAUGAGACUGUCCCAAAAUUUACACUUUAGAUAUAACUCUAAAACGAAAAAAACUUGAUGUACCAAAUGUUGAAAACCACAAAACAUAAAGGUAGUAAAGGGAGUUACCCUAAAAAAAAUUAGAAUUUAAGUUCUUGUGGGGAAGUUUGUUAGUAUUUAUGCCAAAAAAUGAAACUUCCGUCAACUCUCCUUUAAUUAUUAACACGUGAGCUAUACAUAUUAGGCUAAAACAAAAUUCUCCAUCAAUUGUUAGCAUGUGGGGCUUAAAUAUGAGGCUAACUUUAUUUUUUAGUCUCAAAUGUGAGUUUCAUAUGCUAACAAUUAACGAAGAGUAGACGAAAUUUUUAAUUUUGAAUCUAAAUCUAAAUAGAUUUCACCACACGGACUUAAAUCCUCUUUUUUUUGUUGUUAUGAUUUAAUGUGAGUCAUUGGAUCAUAGUUCAUGUGGUCUCUUAGAUUAGAUUUCAUUAAGUCAUAACUCAUAACAAGUGUAAUCAUCUCAAAAGGUGACUUAAGAUUGAAUGGCUCUGAUGAUUUUGUAUGAUGUGAUAGAGCGACAAGUGUGAUGCCCCUCCUCUAACGGUAACAUAUUCUUUGCACGCAUUUGGUGUGAGGAUGAUAAUCCAAUGAGAAUUUCAGCUGUGAUACUUCUUUGCAAUUGUUGCAUCACUGCAAUUCCUCAGAAAUCAUUCCAUUGAAAUCGUACACUCAGAAUCAAUAUACUAACAAAUCUAUUACAAUGGAUUUCCGAAUUACUCGUUUCCCCAUGUUACGCCAACGCAUCUGUAGAACGGUAAGAACUUGGCCGGUGUUAAAGGUAGGCAUUGGUAGCGGUUGGUCAGCCCAAUCUGGUGAUAGUUCCACGAGAUGGCUGAAACUUACAUGAAACCUGUGUAUACCCCCAUCUGUAUCAUCACGAGAGGACGGAGAUAGAUGAGGAUAUAUUUUGUCUCUCCCGCAAGAGUCUGCUACACACUCAAGAAGCACCACGGUGUCAUGUUUUUGAUCCUAAUGAAGACCGCGCGGGUUCGGCGAACAUGCUCCCCGAGGCAUAACCAAAGAAUAAAAAUCAAAACAAUGGCCUGAGCAUGCUACUACUUAGGGGUGGAUUUUUUUGCCUAAUUGCCGUGCCAACCGAAUUACCAACCGUGCCAUACCGAUUUUGUGCCAAAUUUUUUUGUGCCAAUCGGUAAUGGUACGGUAUUCUACCGUACCGAAAUUUCUUGGUACGGUAUUGGUAAUGGAUAUCAUUACCACGGUAUUACCUUACCGUACCGAACAUAUAAUAUAAUAUAUCAUUUAUAAAUUAUAUAAUAUAUAAUUAUAUAACACAUAUUUAUAAUAUUCUAAUAAUUUGAUAUGAUGAAAGAGGCUCAACCUCGGUUCAAGAUUCCAAAUAGGAAGAAGAUUGCGGCCAAUGUGUGGGAUUUAUAUGUGUUGGAGAAGUCUAAAUUAUUUGAAGCAAUGCAUAAUCAAAAGGUAAGUAUCACAACCGAUACUUGGACAUCAGUACAAAACAUUAACUACAUGGUAGUUACCGCUCACUUCAUGGAUAAUGAAUGAAAGUUGCACAAACGGAUCAUAAACUUCAUAAAGAUCACGGGUCAUAAGGGAGAAGACAUUGGGAAAGUUCUAGAGGUGUGUUUGAACCAAUGGAGGAUAGAGAAGAUCUUUAGCAUGGGGGAAACUUCUAUUUGUUUUGGUUCAUAACUUCUAUUUGGAUUGUAAGCUUAAUUUUCAUCAUGAAUCUUGAUACAUCAUUUGAAUUAUUGUGUGUGUGAAUUGUAAAUGAUGAAUAAUAGAUGAAUUUAGGCUACAAUGUAUGAGAUACAGGUACAAUAAAAAAGUUUUGCCCUUGAAUUGGGUUAAAAAAGCAAGAACAAAUUUUGUCCCAAAACAAAGUGGCAAUUACCAUUGCCAUACAAUGCCAACCGAACAUUUGGCAAUACCGAACUUCGAUAUACCGAAAGUUUGGUAUGGUAAUGGUAAUAGAUUUUACCAAACCGAAAGUUUGGUAUGGUAAUUGGUACGAGGGUUUUGGUACGGUAACCGUACCGAACCCACCCCUACUACUACUUGUAUGCCCUUGUCCAAACAGGUACACAAUAUAUCAGGAUUCCCAAACCAAACGAGGUGCAUAUCGUAGCUGUGGCAUAUGCGUAUGCUCUCCAUGGGUAUUUGCUUUCUCUCAUCGCGUUGAACUCAGCGAUGAAGGUAGAAACAGUACUAAGGCAACCCAAAAAUCCAAAUUGUAUGCCUGUUGCAACAAUGUCGCAAGUCUUAGUAUUCACCUGCACAAACAAAUAGUUCUGCACGUCAGAUUUUCUAUUAAAAAGGAAAAAACCGUGGGCAUGGAUCAAGACAACGUAUGACAAAGGUAAUGCAGUUCGAAAAACAUUACAAUAGAGAAUAGUACGGUUCAAGAAUUCCCCAAGAAGCUUUUAAAACCUCGACGAGAAAAAAAAAAACCCAAAAUAACAAAUUUAGCAGUUUAUAAUAUGACGAAUAUAUGUGAACAGUAAGCUUGCCGGACACGAGACAAUAACACAUGAAAGGUAAUGGUGAGGAUGAAGUCAUGGAGUGGAUGCGGACAGAUAUCAUAUCAUAACAGCUUACUGCCUUCUUCACAGUAGACAGGGCUGCCAUUACACAAGCUGCAGAAACAUUGGCAAUUAAAGUACCAAAUGGAACCCAUUUCAACAACCCGGUCUUUCCUAAUCCACAUCCAUUAAGCCGGGCUAAGAACCACCGGAUCCACACACCAAAAGGUCCAACUAUGCAACCCAACCAUAGUUGCGCCUCGCUGCUGCUACUGUUAAAUUCCUCUCUCAACAGUACUCCACCUAUGCUCCACAGAGAACUUAGCAUCAGCAACAACACUACUAAAGCUACCAAGUGACGCUUGUAGCUGUCAACCCUCCACCUCCUUCUAGAGCUGGUAAUACCACAGACUGAGCUUCUCUCAAGAAUCUGCCUAAAACCCUUUGCUGUCUCUACCCCAAAAAUGAUGGAGUAGGCCGCAAGAAACAAACCUGACAUCCGUCACAUAAAAGAGGAUCUCAUAUUAGUCCAGUGAUUUGAGUAACAUUGAUUGAAAUGAAAUUUAAAUAUCCUGUUUGCCAAAGCGAUCCACAUGUCUACUGCAGCAAUUCUUUAGAAUAUGACAUCUUACCUAUCAAAAAGCCGAGCAGAGCAAAAACCCAAUGUCCUUCAACACUGAGUUCAAGCAUUUUCUGGUUCCAACCACUAAAAGUUGUAAGGCUUCCCAAGUAACCAGUUGUUAAUCCGAUGACCAAAUAAUCUGACACAUAGGAUAUAUCUCUUUGAAAACAACACCCAAACACCCCAUCAAGAAAGAGCCAACCUACAAAAAUGCAUUAGAAACAAAAAUUUGAGUUGGAACAUCAUCCAGCAUUUUCGGCAUCACAACCAUUGAGAACUAUGACAUGAAAAAAAAAAAAGAUGAUGGGAAAAAAGUAUGGAAAGAAAGGUGUUAAGAAACUUGAUAAUACUUCGGCGAUCAUCGUACUGUGUGCAUCACAAGUCCUUCCUAAUACUCAUAAGUAACAGCUUUACAGAAAACAUGUUUAUUAACACAACACUACCGAAUAAAGGGCAUAAUACAUUUGUGUGUGUGUGUGUAUGAUCGUGUGCAUGAGAGAGAGAGAGACCAUAUUAGAAGGAAGAUCAAGGUAGAGAAUGGUUUUGUCGCUUGUUACACCAACAACUCCAGGGCCAAACAAUUUUUGCAGAAGAUAUCUCGUUAAGACCUGCAUACUGUAGCAUGUCAAAUAAUCUAUUUAAUAUCUAGGUUUCCAGAUUUGAAGAAAGAUCUAAGAAGAUGUAUUACAGUGACAUAUUCAAUUUUUUCCAAGACAAACAGAAAUAUGAACAUGCCAGUGCAUCAUCAAACAUUUUUGUGAACAAAACUUAUGUAAUUUUAGGGGGUACAAUAGACCGGAUAC